rnacentral:lncRNA from 1 species
GUUAGUUCUGAGUGAAUUCCCUCGGUAUGAUAAUUCUUUCAUCAGUUUGUUCCCUGUUUCUUCUCUAGCCUGAGCCUAACACACUAUUCUAGCUAGACAUGGGUGUGGCUCGUAACACCUGAUGACCAAACGGAUCGACGGCACCAUCGAAUCUCAAACUUUAACUGCCAAAACUAUUGUUUUUCAUCCUGUAGUCCCAUUUAGAAUUACAAAACGUCCUUUUUUGGGCCGAGAUUUAGAGGAACGCUUUCUCGGGGUUUGUGUGCAAGUAUUUCAAACCAUACGGACCUAAAAAUUAGAAGUCAUUCCAUCUUUAUUCCCCUAGAGCCUUCCAGCAGUUCCUAAACNNNNNNNNNNNNNNNNNNNNNNNNNNNNNNNNNNNNNNNNNNNNNNNNNNNNNNNNNNNNNNNNNNNNNNNNNNNNNNNNNNNNNNNNNNNNNNNNNNNNNNNNNNNNNNNNNNNNNNNNNNNNNNNNNNNNNNNNNNNNNNNNNNNNNNNNNNNNNNNNNNNNNNNNNNNNNNNNNNNNNNNNNNNNNNNNNNNNNNNNNNNNNNNNNNNNNNNNNNNNNNNNNNNNNNNNNNNNNNNNNNNNNNNNNNNNNNNNNNNNNNNNNNNNNNNNNNNNNNNNNNNNNNNNNNNNNNNNNNNNNNNNNNNNNNNNNNNNNNNNNNNNNNNNNNNNNNNNNNNNNNNNNNNNNNNNNNNNNNNNNNNNNNNNNNNNNNNNNNNNNNNNNNNNNNNNNNNNNNNNNNNNNNNNNNNNNNNNNNNNNNNNNNNNNNNNNNNNNNNNNNNNNNNNNNNNNNNNNNNNNNNNNNNNNNNNNNNNNNNNNNNNNNNNNNNNNNNNNNNNNNNNNNNNNNNNNNNNNNNNNNNNNNNNNNNNNNNNNNNNNNNNNNNNNNNNNNNNNNNNNNNNNNNNNNNNNNNNNNNNNNNNNNNNNNNNNNNNNNNNNNNNNNNNNNNNNNNNNNNNNNNNNNNNNNNNNNNNNNNNNNNNNNNNNNNNNNNNNNNNNNNNNNNNNNNNNNNNNNNNNNNNNNNNNNNNNNNNNNNNNNNNNNNNNNNNNNNNNNNNNNNNNNNNNNNNNNNNNNNNNNNNNNNNNNNNNNNNNNNNNNNNNNNNNACUGCCAAAACUAUUGUUUUUCAUCCUGUAGUCCCAUUUAGAAUUACUAAACGUCCUUUUUUUGGGCCGAGAUUUAGAGGAACGCUUUCUCGGGGUUUGUGUGCAAGUAUUUCAAACCAUACGGACCUAAAAAUUAGAAGUCAUUCCAUCUUUAUUCCCCUAGAGCCUUCCAGCAGUUCCUAAACCGCUCUAGUCGGGGCACGUUAUCAUUCUUGUUAGUUAUGAGUGAAUUCCCUCGGUAUGAUAAUUCUUUCAUCAGUUUGUUCCCUGUUUCUUCUCUAGCCUGAGCCUGACACACUAUUCUAGCUAGACAUGGGUGUGGCUCGUAACACCUGAUGACCAAACGGAUCGACGGCACCAUCGAAUCUCAAACUUUAACUGCCAAAACUAUUGUUUUUCAUCCUGUAGUCCCAUUUAGAAUUACUAAACGUCCUUUUUUGGGCCGAGAUUUAGAGGAACGCUUUCUCGGGGUUUGUGUGCAAGUAUUUCAAACCAUACGGACCUAAAAAUUAGAAGUCAUUCCAUCUUUAUUCCCCUAGAGCCUUCCAGCAGUUCCUAAACCGCUCAAGUCGGAGCAUGUUAUCAUUCUUGUUAGUUCUGAGUGAAUUCCCUCGGUAUCAUAAUUCUUUCAUCAGUUUGUUCCAUGUUUCUUCUCUAGCCUGAGCCUGACACACUAUUCUAGCUAGACAUGGGUGUGGCUCGUAACACCUGAUGACCAAACGGAUCUAUGGCACCAUCGAAUCUCAAACUUUAACUACCAAAACUAUUAUUUUUUCGUCCUGUAGUCCCUUUUAGAAUUACUAAACGUCCUUUUUUGGGCCGAGAUUUCCAGGAACGCUUUCUCGUGGUUUGUGUGCAAGUAUUUCAAACCAUACAAACCUAAAAAUUAGAAGUCAUUCCAUCUUUAUGCCCGUAGAGCCUUCCAGCAGUUCCUAAACCGCUCCAGUCGGAGCACGUUAUCAUUCUUAUUAGUUCUGAGUGAAUCCCCUCGGUAUAAUAAUUCUUUCAUCAGUUUGUUCCCCGUUUCUUCUCUAGCCUGAGCCUGGCACACUAUUCUAGCUAGACAUGGGUGUGGCUCAUAACACCUGUUGACUAAAUGGAUCGACGGCACCAUCGAAUCUCAAACUUUAACUGCCAAAACUAUUGUUUUUCAUCCUGUAGUCCCAUUUAGAAUUACUAAACGUCCUUUUUUUGGGCCGAGAUUUAGAGGAACGCUUUCUCGGGGUUUGUGUGCAAGUAUUUCAAACCAUACGGACCUAAAAAUUAGAAGUCAUUCCAUCUUUAUUCCCCUAGAGCCUUCCAGCAGUUCCUAAACCGCUCUAGUCGGGGCACGUUAUCAUUCUUGUUAGUUAUGAGUGAAUUCCCUCGGUAUGAUAAUUCUUUCAUCAGUUUGUUCCCUGUUUCUUCUCUAGCCUGAGCCUGACACACUAUUCUAGCUAGACAUGGGUGUGGCUCGUAACACCUGAUGACCAAACGGAUCUACGGCACCAUCGAAUCUCAAACUUUAACUACCAAAACUAUUGUUUUUCAUCCUGUAGUCCCUUUUAGAAUUACUAAACGUCCUUUUUUGGGCCGAGAUUUCCAGGAACGCUUUCUCGGGGUUUGUGUGCAAGUAUUUCAAACCAUACGAACCUAAAAAUUAGAAGUCAUUCCAUCUUUAUUCCCCUAGAGCCUUCCAGCAGUUCCUAAACCGCUCUAGUCGGAGCACGUUAUCAUUCUUGUUAGUUCUGAGUGAAUUCCCUCGGUAUGAUAAUUCUUUCAUCAGUUUGUUCCCNNNNNNNNNNNNNNNNNNNNNNNNNNNNNNNNNNNNNNNNNNNNNNNNNNNNNNNNNNNNNNNNNNNNNNNNNNNNNNNNNNNNNNNNNNNNNNNNNNNNNNNNNNNNNNNNNNNNNNNNNNNNNNNNNNNNNNNNNNNNNNNNNNNNNNNNNNNNNNNNNNNNNNNNNNNNNNNNNNNNNNNNNNNNNNNNNNNNNNNNNNNNNNNNNNNNNNNNNNNNNNNNNNNNNNNNNNNNNNNNNNNNNNNNNNNNNNNNNNNNNNNNNNNNNNNNNNNNNNNNNNNNNNNNNNNNNNNNNNNNNNNNNNNNNNNNNNNNNNNNNNNNNNNNNNNNNNNNNNNNNNNNNNNNNNNNNNNNNNNNNNNNNNNNNNNNNNNNNNNNNNNNNNNNNNNNNNNNNNNNNNNNNNNNNNNNNNNNNNNNNNNNNNNNNNNNNNNNNNNNNNNNNNNNNNNNNNNNNNNNNNNNNNNNNNNNNNNNNNNNNNNNNNNNNNNNNNNNNNNNNNNNNNNNNNNNNNNNNNNNNNNNNNNNNNNNNNNNNNNNNNNNNNNNNNNNNNNNNNNNNNNNNNNNNNNNNNNNNNNNNNNNNNNNNNNNNNNNNNNNNNNNNNNNNNNNNNNNNNNNNNNNNNNNNNNNNNNNNNNNNNNNNNNNNNNNNNNNNNNNNNNNNNNNNNNNNNNNNNNNNNNNNNNNNNNNNNNNNNNNNNNNNNNNNNNNNNNNNNNNNNNNNNNNNNNNNNNNNNNNNNNNNNNNNNNNNNNNNNNNNNNNNNNNNNNNNNNNNNNNNNNNNNNNNNNNNNNNNNNNNNNNNNNNNNNNNNNNNNNNNNNNNNNNNNNNNNNNNNNNNNNNNNNNNNNNNNNNNNNNNNNNNNNNNNNNNNNNNNNNNNNNNNNNNNNNNNNNNNNNNNNNNNNNNNNNNNNNNNNNNNNNNNNNNNNNNNNNNNNNNNNNNNNNNNNNNNNNNNNNNNNNNNNNNNNNNNNNNNNNNNNNNNNNNNNNNNNNNNNNNNNNNNNNNNNNNNNNNNNNNNNNNNNNNNNNNNNNNNNNNNNNNNNNNNNNNNNNNNNNNNNNNNNNNNNNNNNNNNNNNNNNNNNNNNNNNNNNNNNNNNNNNNNNNNNNNNNNNNNNNNNNNNNNNNNNNNNNNNNNNNNNNNNNNNNNNNNNNNNNNNNNNNNNNNNNNNNNNNNNNNNNNNNNNNNNNNNNNNNNNNNNNNNNNNNNNNNNNNNNNNNNNNNNNNNNNNNNNNNNNNNNNNNNNNNNNNNNNNNNNNNNNNNNNNNNNNNNNNNNNNNGACCUAAAAAUUAGAAGUCAUUCCAUCUUUAUUCCCCUAGAGCCUUCCAGCAGUUCCUAAACUGCUCAAGUCGGAGCAUGUUAUCAUUCUUGUUAGUUCUGAGUGAAUUCCCUCCGUAUGAUAAUUCUUUCAUCAGUUUGUUCCCUGUUUCUUCUCUAGCCUGAGCCUGACACACUAUUCUAGCUAGACAUGGGUGUGGCUCGUAACACCUGAUGACCAUACGGAUCUACGGCACCAUCGAAUCUCAAACUUUAACUACCAAAACUAUUCUUUUUCAUCCUGUAGUCCCUUUUAGAAUUACUAAACGUCCUUUUUUGGGCCGAGAUUUCCAGGAACGCUUUCUCGUGGUUUGUGUGCAAGUAUUUCAAACCAUACAGACCUAAAAAUUAGAAGUCAUUCCAUCUUUAUGCCCGUACAGCCUUCCAGCAGUUCCUAAACCGCUCCAGUCGGUGCACAUUAUCAUUCUUAUUAGUUCUGAGUGAAUUCCCUCGAUAUGAUAAUUCUUUCAUUAGUUUGUUCCCCGUUUCUUCUCUAGCCUGAGCCUGGCACACUAUUCUAGCUAGACAUGGGUGUGGCUCAUAACACCUGUUGACUAAAUGGAUCGACGGCACCAUCGAAUCUCAAACUUUUACUGCCAAAACUAUUGUUUUUCAUCCUGUAGUCCCAUUUAGAAUUACUAAACGUCCUUUUUUUGGGCCGAGAUUUAGAGGAACGCUUUCUCGGGGUUUGUGUGCAAGUAUUUCAAACCAUACGGACCUAAAAAUUAGAAGUCAUUCCAUCUUUAUUCCCCUAGAGCCUUCCAGCAGUUCCUAAACCGCUCUAGUCGGGGCACGUUAUCAUUCUUGUUAGUUAUGAGUGAAUUCCCUCGGUAUGAUAAUUCUUUCAUCAGUUUGUUCCCUGUUUUUUCUCUAGCCUGAGCCUGACACACUAUUCUAGCUAGACAUGGGUGUGGCUCGUAACACCUGAUGACCAAACGGAUCUACGGCACCAUCGAAUCUCAAACUUUAACUACCAAAACUAUUCUUUUUCAUCCUGUAGUCCCUUUUAGAAUUACUAAACGUCCUUUUUUGGGCCGAGAUUUCCAGGAACGCUUUCUCGGGGUUUGUGUGCAAGUAUUUCAAACCAUACGAACCUAAAAAUUAGAAGUCAUUCCAUCUUUAUUCCCCUAGAGCCUUCCAGCAGUUCCUAAACCGCUCUAGUCGGAGCACGUUAUCAUUCUUGUUAGUUCUGAGUGAAUUCCCUCGGUAUGAUAAUUCUUUCAUCAGUUUGUUCCCCAUUUCUUCUCUAGCCUGAGCCUGACACACUAUUCUAGCUAGACAUGGGUGUGGCUCGUAACACCUGAUGACCAAACGGAUCGACGACACCAUCGAAUCUCAAACUUUAACUGCCAAAACUAUUGUUUUUCAUCCUGUAGUCCCAUUUAGAAUUAUUAAACGUCCUUUUUUGGGCCGAUAUUUAGAGUAAUGCUUUCUCUGGGUUUGUCUGCAAGUAUUUCAAACCAUACGGACCUAAAAAUUAGAAGUCAUUCCAUCUUUAUUCCCCUAGAGCCUUCCAGCAGUUCCUAAACCGCUCUAGUCGGAGCACGUUAUCAUUCUUGUUAGUUCUGAGUGAAUUCCCUCGGUAUGAUAAUUCUUUCAUCNNNNNNNNNNNNNNNNNNNNNNNNNNNNNNNNNNNNNNNNNNNNNNNNNNNNNNNNNNNNNNNNNNNNNNNNNNNNNNNNNNNNNNNNNNNNNNNNNNNNNNNNNNNNNNNNNNNNNNNNNNNNNNNNNNNNNNNNNNNNNNNNNNNNNNNNNNNNNNNNNNNNNNNNNNNNNNNNNNNNNNNNNNNNNNNNNNNNNNNNNNNNNNNNNNNNNNNNNNNNNNNNNNNNNNNNNNNNNNNNNNNNNNNNNNNNNNNNNNNNNNNNNNNNNNNNNNNNNNNNNNNNNNNNNNNNNNNNNNNNNNNNNNNNNNNNNNNNNNNNNNNNNNNNNNNNNNNNNNNNNNNNNNNNNNNNNNNNNNNNNNNNNNNNNNNNNNNNNNNNNNNNNNNNNNNNNNNNNNNNNNNNNNNNNNNNNNNNNNNNNNNNNNNNNNNNNNNNNNNNNNNNNNNNNNNNNNNNNNNNNNNNNNNNNNNNNNNNNNNNNNNNNNNNNNNNNNNNNNNNNNNNNNNNNNNNNNNNNNNNNNNNNNNNNNNNNNNNNNNNNNNNNNNNNNNNNNNNNNNNNNNNNNNNNNNNNNNNNNNNNNNNNNNNNNNNNNNNNNNNNNNNNNNNNNNNNNNNNNNNNNNNNNNNNNNNNNNNNNNNNNNNNNNNNNNNNNNNNNNNNNNNNNNNNNNNNNNNNNNNNNNNNNNNNNNNNNNNNNNNNNNNNNNNNNNAUGUCCUUUUUUGGGCCGAGAUUUCCAGGAACGCUUUCUCAGGGUUUGUGUGCAAGUAAUUCAAACCAUACGGACCUAAAAAUUAGAAGUCAUUCCAUCUUUAUUCCCCUAGAGCCUUCCAGCAGUUCCUAAACCGCUCAAGUCAGUGCACGUUAUCAUUCUUGUUAGUUCUAAGUGAAUUCCCUCGGUAUGAUAAUUUGUUCAUCAGUUUGUUCCCCGUUUCUUCUCUAGCCUGAGCCUGACACACUAUUCUAGCUAGACAUGGGUGUGGCUCGUAACACCUGAUGACCAAACGGAUCUACGACACCAUCGAAUCUCAAACUUUAACUACCAAAACUAUUGUUUUUCAUCCUCUAGUCCCUUUUAGAAUUACUAAACGUCCUUUUUUGGGCCGAGAUUUCCAGGAACGCUUUCUCGGGGUUUGUGUGCAUGUAUUUCAAACCAUACAGACCUAAAAAUUAGAAGUCAUUCCAUCUUUAUUCCCGUAGAGCCUUCCAGCAGUUCCUAAACCGCUCCAGUCGGAGCAUGUUAUCAUUCUUGUUUGUUCUGAGUGAAUUCCCUCGGUAUGAUAAUUCUAUCAUCAGUUUGUUCCCCGUUUCUUCUCUAGCCUGAGCCUGGCAAACUAUUCNNNNNNNNNNNNNNNNNNNNNNNNNNNNNNNNNNNNNNNNNNNNNNNNNNNNNNNNNNNNNNNNNNNNNNNNNNNNNNNNNNNNNNNNNNNNNNNNNNNNNNNNNNNNNNNNNNNNNNNNNNNNNNNNNNNNNNNNCUAAACCGCUCUAGUCGGAGCACGUUAUCAUUCUUGUUAGUUCUGAGUGAAUUCCCUCGGUAUGAUAAUUCUUUCAUCAGUUUGUUCCCUGUUUCUUCUCUAGCCUGAGCCUGACACACUAUUCUAGCUAGACAUGGGUGUGGCUCGUAACACCUAAUGACCAAACGGAUCGACGGCACCAUCGAAUCUCAAACUUUAACUGCCAAAACUAUUGUUUUUCAUCCUGUUGUCCCAUUUAGAAUUACUAAACGUCCUUUUUUGGGCCGAGAUUUAGAGGAACGCUUUCUCGGGGUUUGUGUGCAAGUAUUUCAAACCAUACGGACCUAAAAAUUAGAAGUCAUUCCAUCUUUAUUCCCCUAGAGCCUUCCAGCAGUUCCUAAACCGCUCAAGUCAGAGCAUGUUAUCAUUCUUGUUAGUUCUGAGUGAAUUCCCUCGGUAUGAUAAUUCUUUCAUCAGUUUGUUCCCUGUUUCUUCUCUAGCCUGAGCCUGACACACUAUUCUAGCUAGACAUGGGUGUGGCUCGUAACACCUGAUGACCAAACGGAUCUACGACACCAUUGAAUCUCAAACUUUAACUACCAAAACUAUUAUUUUUCAUCCUGUAGUCCCUUUUAGAAUUACUAAACGUCCUUUUUUGGGCCGAGAUUUCCAAGAACGCUUUCUCGUGGUUUGUGUGCAAGUAUUUCAAACCAUACAGACCUAAAAAUUAGAAGUCAUUCCAUCUUUAUGCCCGUAGAGCCUUCCAGCAGUUCCUAAACCGCUCCAGUCGGAGCACGUUAUCAUUCUUAUUAGUUCUGAGUGAAUUCCCUCAGUAUGAUAAUUCUUUCAUAAGUUUGUUCCCCAUUUCUUCUCUAGCCUGAGCCUGGCACACUAUUCUAGCUAGACAUGGGUGUGGCUCAUAACACUUGUUGACUAAAUGGAUCGACGGCACCAUCGAAUCUCAAACUUUAACUGCCAAAACUAUUGUUUUUCAUCCUGUAGUCCCAUUUAGAAUUAUUAAACGUCCUUUUUUGGGCCGAUAUUUAGAGUAAUGCUUUCUCGGGGUUUGUCUGCAAGUAUUUCAAACCAUACGGACCUAAAAAUUAGAAGUCAUUCCAUCUUUAUUCCCCUAGAGCCUUCCAGCAGUUCCUAAACCGCUCUAGUCGGAGCACGUUAUCAUUCUUGUUAGUUCUGAGUGAAUUCCCUCAGUAUGAUAAUUCUUUCAUCUGUUUGUUCCCCGUUUCUUCUCUAGCCUGAGCCUGACACACUAUUCAAGCUAGACAUGGAUGUGGCUCGUAACACCUGAUGACCAAACGGAUCUACGGCACCAUCGAAUCCCAAACUUUAACUGCCAAAACUAUUGUUUUUCAUCCUGUAGUCCCUUUUAGAAUUACUAAACGUCCUUUUUUGGGCCGAGAUUUCCAGGAAUGCUUUCUCGGGGUUUGUGUGCAAGUAUUUCAAACCAUACAAAGCUAGAAAUUAGAAGUCAUUCCAUCUUUAUUAUCGUAGAGCCUUCCAGCAGUUCCUAAACCGGUCUAGUCGGAGCACGUUAUCAUUCUAGUUAGUUCUGAGUGAAUUCCCUCGGUAUGAUAAUUCUUUCAUCAGUUUGUUCCCCGUUUCUUCUCUAGCCUGAGCCUGACAAACUAUUCUAGCUAGACAUGCGUGUGGCUCGUAACACCUGAUGACCAAACGGAUCUAUAGCACCAUCGAAUCUCAAACUUUAACUGCCAAAACUAUUGUUUUCAUCCUGUAGUCCCUUUUAGAAUUACUAAACUUCCUUUUUUGGGCCGAGAUUUAGAGGAACGCUUUCUGGGGUUUGUGUGCAAGUAUUUCAAACCAUACAGACCUAAAAAUUAGAAGUCAUUCCAUCUUUAUUCCCCUAGAGCCUUCCAGCAGUUCCUAAACCGCUCUAGUCGGAGCACGUUAUCAUUAUUGUUAGUUCUGAGUGAAUUCCCUCGGUAUGAUAAUUCUUUCAUCAGUUUGUUCCCUGUUUCUUCUCUAUCCUGAGCCUGACACACUAUUCUAGCUAGACAUGGGUGUGGCUCGUAACACCUGAUGACUAAAUGGAUCGACGGCACCAUCGAAUCUCAAACUUUAACUGCCAAAACUAUUGUUUUUCAUCCUGUAGUCCCAUUUAGAAUUAGUAAACGUCCUUUUUUGGGCCGAGAUUUAGAGGAACGCUUUCUCGGGGUUUGUGUGCAAGUAUUUCAAACCAUACGGACCUAAAAAUUAGAAGUCAUUCCAUCUUUAUUCCCCUAGUCAUCAGGUAUACACUCAAGUCGGAGCACGUUAUCAUUCUUGUUAGUUCUGAGUGAAUUCCCUCGGUAUGAUAAUUCUUUCAUAAAUUUGUUCCCCGUUUCUUAUAUGGCCUGAGCCUGACACACUAUUCUAGCUAGACAUGGGUGUGGCUCGUAACACCUGAUGACCAAACGGAUCUACGGCACCAUCAAAUCUCAAACUUUAACUGCCAAAACUAUUCUUUUUCAUUCUGUAGUCCCUUCUAGAAUUACUAAACGUCCUUUUUUGGGCCGAGAUUUCCAGGAACGCUUUCUCGGGGUUUGUGUGCAUGUAUUUCAAACCAUACAGACCUAAAAAUUAUAAGUCAUUCCAUCUUUAUUCCCGUAGAGCCUUCCAGUAGUUCCUAAACCGCUCCAGUCGGAGCAUGUUAUCAUUCUUGUUAGUUCUAAGUGAAUUCCCUCGGUAUGAUAAUUCUUUCAUCAGUUUGUUCCCCGUUUCUUCUCUAGCCUGAGCCUGGCACACUAGUCUAGCUAGACAUGGGUGUGGCUCGUAACACCCGAUGACUAAAUGGAUCGACGGCACCAUCGAAUCUCAAACUUUAACUGCCAAAACUAUUGUUUUUCAUCCUGUAGUCCCAUUUAGAAUUACUAAACGUCCUUUUUUGGGCCGAGAUUUAGAGGAACGCUUUCUCGUGGUUUGUGUGCAAGAAUUUCAAACCAUACGGACCUAAAAAUUAGAAGUCAUUCCAUCUUUAUUCCCCUAGAGCCUUCCAGUAGUUCCUAAACCGCUCUAGUCGGAGCACGUUAUCAUUCUUGUUAGUUCUGAGAGAAUUCCCUCGGUAUGAUAAUUCUUUUAUCAGUUUGUUCCCCGUUUCUUCUCUAGCCUGAGCCCGACACACUAUUCUAGCUAGACAUGGGUGUGGCUCGUAACACCUGAUGACCAAACGGAUCUACGGCACCAUCGAAUCUCAAACUUUAACUGCCAAAACUAUUGUUUUUCAUCCUGUAGUCCCUUUUAGAAUUACUAAAUGUCCUUUUUUGGGCCGAGAUUUCCAGGAACGCUUUCUCAGGGUUUGUGUGCAAGUAAUUCAAACCAUACGGACCUAAAAAUUAGAAGUCAUUCCAUCUUUAUUCCCCUAGAGCCUUCCAGCAGUUCCUAAACCGCUCAAGUCAGUGCACGUUAUCAUUCUUGUUAGUUCUAAGUGAAUUCCCUCGGUAUGAUAAUUUGUUCAUCAGUUUGUUCCCCGUUUCUUCUCUAGCCUGAGCCUGACACACUAUUCUAGCUAGACAUGGGUGUGGCUCGUAACACCUGAUGACCAAACGGAUCUACGACACCAUCGAAUCUCAAACUUUAACUACCAAAACUAUUGUUUUUCAUCCUCUAGUCCCUUUUAGAAUUACUAAACGUCCUUUUUUGGGCCGAGAUUUCCAGGAACGCUUUCUCGGGGUUUGUGUGCAUGUAUUUCAAACCAUACAGACCUAAAAAUUAGAAGUCAUUCCAUCUUUAUUCCCGUAGAGCCUUCCAGCAGUUCCUAAACCGCUCCAGUCGGAGCAUGUUAUCAUUCUUGUUUGUUCUGAGUGAAUUCCCUCGGUAUGAUAAUUCUAUCAUCAGUUUGUUCCCCGUUUCUUCUCUAGCCUGAGCCUGGCAAACUAUUCUAGCUAGACAUGGGUGUGGCUCGUAACACCUGAUGACCAAACGGAUCUACGACACCAUCGAAUCUCAAACUUUAACUACCAAAACUAUUGUUUUUCAUUCUAUAGUCCCUUCUAGAAUUUCUAAACGUCCUUUUUUGGGCCGAGAUUUCCAGGAAUGCUUUCUCGGGGUUUGUGUGCAAGUAUUUCAAAUCAUACGGACCUAAAAAUUAGAAGUCAUUCCAUCUUUAUUCCCCUAGAGCCUUCCAGUAGUUCCUAAACCGCUCCAGUCGGAGCACGUUAUCAUUCUUGUUAGUUCAUAGUGAAUUCCCUCGGUAUGAUAAUUCUUUCAUCAGUUUGUUCCCCGUUUCUUCUCUAGCCUGAGCCUGGCACAGUAUUCUAGCUAGACAUGGGUGUGGUCGUAACACCUGAUGACUAAAUGGAUCGACGGCACCAUCGAAUCUCAAACUUUAACUGCCAAAACUAUUGUUUUUCAUCCUGUAAUCCCAUUUAGAAUUACUAAACGUCCUUUUUUGGGCCGAGAUUUAGAGGAACGCUUUGUUGGGGUUUGUGUGCAAGUAUUUCAAACCAUACGGACCUAAAAAUUAGAACUCAUUCCAUAUUUAUUCCCCUUGAGCCUUCCAGCAGUUCCUAAACCGCUCUAGUCGGAGCACGUUAUCAUUCUUGUUAGUUCUAAGAGAAUUCCCUCGGUAUGAUAAUUCUUUUAUCAGUUUGUUCCCCGUUUCUUCUCUAGACUGGGCCCGACACACUAUUCUAGCUAGACAUGGGUGUGGCUCGUAACACCUGAUGACCAAACGGAUCUACGGCACCAUCGAAUCUCAAACUUCAACUGCCAAAACUAUUGUUUUUCAUCCUGUAGUCCCUUUUAGAAUUACUAAACGUCCUUUUUUGGGCCGAGAUUUCCAGGAACGCUUUCUCGGGGUUUGUGUGCAAGUAUUUCAAACCAUACGGACCUAAAAAUUAGAAGUCAUUCCAUCUUUAUUCCCGUAGAGCCAUCCAGCAGUUCCUAAACCGCUCCAGUCGGAGCACGUUAUCAUUCUUGUUAGUUCUGAGUGAAUUCCCUCGGUAUGAUAAUUCUUUCAUCAGUUUGUUCCCCGUUUCUUCUCUAGCCUGAGCCUGACAAACUAUUAUAGCUAGACAUGGGUGUGGCUCGUAACACCUGAUGACCAAACGGAUCUAUGGCACCAUCGAAUCUCAAACUUUAACUGCCAAAACUAUUGUUUUUCAUCCUGUAGUCCCUUUUAGAAUUACUAAACGCCCUUCUUUGGGACGAGAUUUCCAGGAACGCUUUCUCGGGGUUUGUGUGAAAGUAAUUCAAACCAUACGGACCUAAAAAUUAGAAGUCAUUCCAUCUUUAUUCCCGUGGAGCCUUCCAGUAGUUCCUAAACCGCUCCAGUCGGAGCACGUUAUCAUUCUUGUUAGUUCUGAGUGAAUUCCCUCGGUAUGAUAAUUCUUUCAUCAGUUUGUUCCCUGUUUCUUCUCUAGCCUGAGCCUGGCACACUAUUCUAGCUAGACAUGGGUGUGGCUCGUAACACCUGAUGACUAAACUGAUCAAUGACACCAUCGAAUCUCAAACUUUAACUGCCAAAACUAUUGUUUUUCAUCCUGUAGUCCCAUUUAGAAUUACUAAACGUCCUUUUUUGGGCCGAGAUUUCCAGGAACGCUUACUCGGGGUUUGUGUGCAAGUAUUUCAAACCAUACUGACCUAAAAAUUAGAAGUCAAUCCAUCUUUAUUCCCCUAGAGCCUUCCAGCAGUUCCUAAACCGCUCCAGUCGGAGCACGUUAUCAUUCUUGUUAGUUCUGAGUGAAUUCCCUCGGUAUGAUAAUUCUUUCAUCAGUUUGUUCCUUGUUUCUUCUCUAGCCUGAACCUGACACACUAUUCUAGCUAGACAUGGGUGUGGCUCGUAACACCUGAUGACCAAACGGAUCUACGGCACCAUCGAAUCUCAAACUUUAACUGCCAAAACUAUUAUUUUUAAUCCUCUAGUCCCAUUUAGAAUUACUAAACGUCCUUUUUUGGGCCGAGAUUUAGAGGAACGCUUUCAUGCGGUUUGUGUGCAAGUAUUUCAAACCAUACGGACCUAAAAAUUAGAAGUCAUUCCAUCUUUAUUCCCCUAGAGCCUUCCAGCAGUUCCUAAACCGCUCCAGUCGGAGCAUGUUAUCAUUCUUGUUAGUUCUGAGUGAAUUCCCUCGGUAUGAUAAUUCUUUCAUCAGUUUGUGGCCCGUUUCUUCUCUAGCCUGAGCCUGACACACUAUUCUAGCUAGACGUGGGUGUGGCUCGUAACACCUGAUGACCAAACGGAUCUACGGCACCAUCGAAUCUCAAACUUUAAGUGCCAAAACUAUUAUUUUUAAUCCUGUAGUCCCAUUUAGAAUUACAAAAAUGUCCUUUUUUGGGCUGAGAUUUCCAGGAACGCUUUCGUGCGGUUUGUGUGCAAGUAUUUCAAACCAUACAGACCAAAAAAUUAGAAGUCAUUCCAUCUUUAUUCCCUUAGAGCCUUCCAGCAGUUCCUAAACCGCUCAAGUCGGAGCAUGUUAUCAUUCUUGUUAGUUCUGAGUGAAUUCCCUCGGUAUGAUAAUUCUUUCAUCAGUUUGUUCCCCGUUUCUUCUCUAGCCCGAGCCUGACAAACUAUUAUAGCUAGACAUGGGUGUGGCUCGUAACACCUGAUGACCAAACGGAUCGACGACACCAUCGAAUCUCAAACAUUAACUGCCAAAACUACACCUCAUUGACACGUCUGUUGAAAAACAGAGAUCGCGCCCACUUAAUACGGGAUUUAGUAUCAAUGAUAUCUGGGUAAUCCAACCGACAGCAGCGCAUACCCACAUCAGGAACAGACGAUGUUUUAAGGCUAGGGAGGCAGGCGCUUGGUAUUCACUUCUUAUAUAAACGAAGUAAGAUUUAUCUUUUCCAUCCCACGCCUUCUUCCUUUUUCCGCCUCCCCAUCUCCUAGCUCUAGUGCCCGAGCCUCGAAACUUCCCACCACCACCAGCCUCCCCAGUCACGUUCGGAUCUGGCCUUCAAGGAAAGUGGGCCGCCUCCUCCGGGAGGGAGAAGGAUGUCAAGGAGCUCCAGGAUGCGGGGUACCUGAGUGCGGAAAUCACGUACAGGAUCCUAGCUAAGAAGCAAGUCAUCCCCACCCUAGAGCCCGGUGAGAGGGUGGUAUUUAUCCCCUACUUCCUCCGUGGACUAGGGUUUCCACUUCACCCUUUUGUCCGCGGCAUCAUGUUCUAUUACAGGCUAGAUUUCCAUGAUCUAGCCCCAAACUCAUUCCUCCACAUCUGGGCGUUUAUCGUUGAGUGCGUGGCGCUUCUCCGCAUCCCCCCCCCGGCACUUCGGUCUCUGGCUCAAAUUCUUCAACAUGAAGCCAAAGGUGGUGGAUGGGGAGCAUGCAGACUGCGGAGGCGCAAUGGUGAGCAAGCUUCCCAACAUCACCUGGCCCAAAGGGGCUUUUUGUGGAGACUGUAAAAAUAUGGCAGCAGGAGUGGUUCUACAUCACCGAACCUCGCGGCGCCAACUGGGCGGCCACUCCUGAAUUCAGAUCCGGACCCCCAAUGUGGCUAGCGUCGUGGAUCAACAAGGGCUUGGACUGGGGGUUAGCGAACGAGGAGACGAUGCUGCAAAAGCGCAUCAAAAACAUCAUAAAGAGGGACACCGACCUCCCCGACGUGGUUCAUGUGAUGCUAUUCCGCCGGAUCCUUCCCUGCUAGCACCGGCAUCUCCACAUGUGGGAGUUUAAUCCGGAAGGGCCACGAACCCUGCUUCAAUUCUCCGGCACAAUGCACGAAGAAAUCUGGAGGCUGCUUUUCAAGGCCCAGAAGAAGAAAUCGUGACCGGAGAUUGUCGACGACAUCGGCCUCGACUGCGCUCACCCAGCCACUCCGAUAAGUUUUUAUUUUCCGAACAUAACUUAAUCUGAACAUCGCAGGGGUGUAUUGGGAUUCUCACAUUUGUAACAGGGUUGGACGAAGAAGGCGGAGCGGAUUAAAGGUCUCGCUCCAUUGCCCGAAAGUCCCCCUGAUCCUCUACUGAUGAGGAUGUUGGUUCCGGCACCGUACCAGGCACCGGAAAAGAACACCAAGAAGAAGUUCAAGGAGGCCAAAGAUGACUCCCGCCGAAAAGGUCCCUCCGACACUAUGUCCGGGGAGUCCGAAGCCCUCUCCUCCCGCGAGGGUGAUGAAGAAGAGAAGGAGGAGGAGCAGGAAGAGAACAACUCUCCCCUUAAGGGGAGGAGGAAGAAAAGAGUGGCUUCCGCAGACCCAGAGACGGAGGCGUCCAAAAGGGGGAGAGCAUCUCUCUCGGAUGACUCGGAUUCGGCUGCCGAAGUCAUCCCCGAGCAUCGCCCUAGGUCCCCCAGCCGAAUCAUGACUGUCUCAAGAUGCCUUACAUACAUCGGCUUUUACAAUUAUCGUUUUUAACAUAUUGCAUUGUGUGUUUCAGCCCGGCCCGCGAUCUCCCUCAAACAUCGUCUCCGGGAAAUUCGUUGGAGCCAGGGGCGCUGGAGCGCAAGACGCCUCCGCGGGCUUUCCCGCUUAGCGCUCCGGACGACACCGAAGUUGUGCCCCGAAGAGCCUUUCUAGGCCACAGAGAGGUGCCGAAGUCCAUGGAAACCGAGGACGGGGUCCAUGACUGAUGACCCAUAAGUGUAGGGGAUCUAUCGUAGUCCUUUUGAUAAGUAAGAGUGUCGAACCCAACGAGGAGCAUAAGGAAUUGACAAGCGGUUUUCAGUAUGGUAUUCUCUACAAGCACUAAAAUUAUCGAUAACAGAUAGUUUUGUGAUAAGGUAAUUUUUAAUGAGUAACAAGCAAUGAAAGUAAAUAAGGUGCAGCAAGGUGGCCCAAUCCUUUUUGUAGCAAAGGACAAGCCUAGACAAGUUCUUAUAUAGAGAAAAGCGCUCCCGAGGACACAUGGGAAUUAUCGUCAAGCUAGUUUUCAUCACACUCAUAUGAUUCGCGUUCCUUACUUUGAUAAUUUGAUAUGUGGGUGGACCGGUGUUUGGGUACUGCCCUUUCUUGGACAAGCAUCCCACUUAUGAUUAACCCCUAUUCCAAACAUCCAAAACUACAAAAGAAGUAUUAAGUUAACCUAACCAUAGUGCUACGUCUUGAGCUUGCGUUGGUUUUCCUUGAAGAGGAAGGGGUGAUGCAGCAAUAGUAGCGUAAGUAUUUCCCUCAGUUUUUGAGACCCAAGGUAUCAAUCCAGUAGGAGGCUCCUCAAAAGUCCCACGCACCUACACAAACAAACAAAGAACUCAGCAACCAACGCAAUAAAGGGGUUGUCAAUCCCUUCAUGGCCACUUGCGAAAGUGAGAUCUAAUAAAGAUAAAUAAGAUAAGAUAAAUAUAUUUUUGGUAUUUUAUAAUAUAGAUGCAAAAAGUAAAGAUGCAAAUAAAAAUAGAUUGGAAGCAAAUAUGAUAAGAGAUAGACCCGGGGGCCAUAGGUUUCACUAGUGGCUUCUCUCAAGAUAGCAUAAGUAUUACGGUGGGUGAAUAAAUUACAGUCGAGCAAUUGAUAGAAAAGCGAAUAAUUAUGAGAUUAUCUAGGCAUGAUCAUGUAUAUUGGCAUCACGUUCGCAACAAGUAGACUGACUCCUGCCUGCAUCUACUACUAUUACUCCACACAUCGACCGACUCCUACCUGCAUCUACUACUAUUACUCCACACAUCGACCGACUCCUGCCUGCAUCUAGAGUAUUAAGUUCAUAAGAACAGAGUAACGCAUUAAGCAAGAUGACAUGAUGUAGAGGGAUAAACUCAAGCAAUAUGAUAUAAACCCCAUCUUGUUAUCUUCGAUGGCAACAAUACAAUACGUGCCUUGCAACCCUUUCUGUCACUCGGUAAGGACACCGCAAGAUUGAACUCAAAGCUAAGCACUUCUCCCAUGGCAAGAAAGAUCAAUCUAGUAGGCCAAACCAAACUGAUAAUUCGAAGAGACUUGCAAAGAUAACUCAAUCAUACAUAAAAGAAUUCAGAGAAGAUUCAAAUAUUAUCCAUAGAUAAACUUGAUCAUAAACCCACAAUUCAUCGGAUCUCGACAAACACACCGCAAAAAGAAUUUACAUCGAAUAGAUCUCCACAAGAGAGGGGGAGAAUAUUGUAUUGAGAUCCAAAAAGAGAGAAGAAGCCAUCUAGCUAAUAACUAUGGACCCGUAGGUCUAUGGUAAACUACUCACAACUCAUAGGAGGGGCUAUGGUGUUGAUGUAGAAGCCCUCCGUGGUCGAUUCCCCCUCCGGCAGAGUGCCGACGAAGGCUCCAAGAUGGGAUCUCGCGGAAACAGAAGGUUACGGUGGUGUAAAUUGUGUUUCGUUCGCUCCCUGGAUGUUUUCGGGGUACAUAGGUAUAUAUAGGAGGAUGAAGUACGUCAGUGGACGCCCGAGGGGCCCACGAGACAGGGGGCGCGCCCUAUAGGGGGGGCGCCCUCCUAUCUCGUGGAGGCCUCGGCUGCUUCUUGACUUGCACUCCAAGUCCUGUGCAUCACAUUCGUUCCAAUAAUCACGCUCCCGAAGGUUUCAUUCCGUUUGGAAUCCGUUUGAUAUUCCUUUUCUUUUAAAUACUGAAAUAGGCAAAAAAACAGCAAUACGGGAUGGGCCUCUGAUUAGUAGGUUAGUCCCAAAAAUGAUAUAGAUGUGUAAAAUAAAGCCCAUAAACAUCCAGAAGGGGUAAUAUAAUAGCAUGGAACAAUCAAAAAUUAUAGAUACAUUGGAGACAUAUCACAUAGCAUGAAACAUGUGGAUCCAAAUCAGCCCCUUACGAAGCAACACAUAAACUAGGGUUUAAGCUUCUGUCACUCUAGCAACCCAUCAUCUACUUAUUAACUCCCAAUGCGUUCCUCAAGGUCCAAACAAUGGUGAAGUGUCAUGUAGUCGACGUUCACAUAACACCACUAGAGGAGAGACAACAUACAUCUCAUCAAAAUAUUGAACGAAUACCAAAUUUACAUGACUACUAAUAGCAAGACUUCCCCCAUGUCCUCUGGAACAAACGUAACUACUCACAAAGCAUAUUCAUAUUCAUAAUCAGAGGUGUACUAAUAUGCAUUAAGGAUCUGAACAUAUGAUCUUGCACCAAAUAAACCAACUAGCAUCAACUACAAGGAGUAAUCAACACUACUAGCAACCCACAGGUACCAAUCUAAGGUUUUGGUAUAAAGAUUGGAUACAAGAGAUGAACUAGGGUUUGAGAGGAGAUGGUGCUGGUGAAGAUAUUGAUGGAGAUUGACCCCCUCCCCGAUGAGAGGAUCGUUGGUGAUGACGAUGGUGAUGAUUUCCCCCUCCCGGAGGUAAAUUUCCCCGGCAGAACAGCUCCGCCGAAGCCCUAGAUUGGUUUCGCCAAGGUUCCGCCUCAUGGUAGCGGAGUUUCAUCCCGUAAGCUUGCUUAUGUUUUUUCCAUGGUAAAAAGCCUUCAAAUAGUAGAAGAUGGCCACCGAAGGGCUGCCAGGGGGCCCACAAGGUAGGGGGCGCCUAGGGGGGUAGGGCGCGCCCCCACCCUCGUGGAUGGUGGGUGGCCCCCCUCAGGUAUUUCUUCCUCUCAAUAUUUUUUAUUAAUUACCAAAAUGACUUUCAUGGAGUUUCAGGACUUUUGGAGCUGUGCAGAAUAAGUCUCUAUUAUUUGCUCCUUUUCGAGCCCAGAAUCCCAGCUGCCGGCAUUCUCCCUCUUUAUGUAAAACUUGUAAAAUAAGAGAGAAUAGGCAUAAGUAUUGUGACAUAACGUGUAAUAACAGCCCAUAAUGCACUAAAUAUCGAUAUAAAAGCAUGAUGCAAAAUGGACGUAUCAGUGACCAAUCUGUCCCCUAGCCGCACACUAUUUCGGAAACCCAUACAGGUCCGGAAUCCAACAAGCAACCCCCUUUGAAGGAGGGAAGAGCGUCAACUCCACCGGUGACCUCCAUGAAUCUGGAAGCGCCAGAUAAUUUGACGGAAGUGCUUCAUCAUGCUUCCAUCAUGGAGGAGAACCGCACCCUUAUGGGUGUGGUGGCUGAGAAGAUUCAGUCCGCCAAAAGCAGGUAGAACGAAGCCUUUACUAGCCUGUUAACAGGCAUUGAGGUAUGUGAUGUAAUUUUCUAACUGAUUCCAAUAAAGAGAUACACCUGUGUGUAGAAAGUAGCCCCUGAGACUCUGCCCGGUUUCAAAGGAGCCAGACAGAGGAUCACAUAAUAUUCGGCAAAGGUAACAUUCUAUUAUACAACAGGCUUCCCUGCUGCCGGCGAGCGCCCAGUCGGCCGACGUUUCCGAACUCACUCAGAAGCUGUGGCUGGUUGAUGAAGAAGUUGUCCGCAUUAAUAGCGGUUGGAGGAGACACAAGGUAUGCGUACAUUGAGUAUAAGCCCCUGAUGUCUACUACACAACCUUCUUCUUGUAGACGUUGUUGGUCCUCCAAGUGCAGAUGUUUGUAGGACAGUAGAAAAUUUCCCUCAAGUGGAUGACCUAAGGUUUAUCAAUCCAUGGGAGGCGUAGGAUGAAGAUGGUCUCUCUCAAACAACCCUGUAACCAAAUAACAAAGAGUCUCUUGUGUCCCCAACACACCCAAUACAAUGGUAAAUUGUAUAGGUGCACUAGUUCGGCGAAGAGAUGGUGAUACAAGUGCAAUAUGAAUGGUAGAUAUAGGUUUUUGUAAUCUGAAAAUAUAAAAACAGCAAGGUAACUAAUGAUAAAAGUGAGCGAAAAUGGUAUUGCAAUGCUUCGAAACAAGGCCUAGGGUUCAUACUUUCACUAGUGCAAGUUCUCUCAACAAUAAUAACAUCAUUAGAUCAUAUAACAAUCCCUCACCAGGCAACAAAGAGUCACUCAAGAGUCACUAAUAGUGGAGAACAAACGAAGAGAUUAUUGUAGGGUAAGAAACCACCUCAAAGUUAUUCUUUCCGAUCAAUCCAUUGGGCUAUUCCUAUAAGUGUCACAAACAGCCCUAGAGUUCGUAGUAAAAUAACACCUUAAGACACAAAUCAACCAAAACCCUAAAGUCAUCUAGAUACUCCAAGGUCACCUAGAGUAUCCGUGGGUAUGAUUAUACGAUAUGCAUCACACAAUCUCAGAUUCAUCUAUUCAACCAACACAAAGAACUUCAAAGAGUUCCCCAAAGUUUCUACUGGACAGUCAAGACGAAAACGUGUGCCAACCCCUAUGCAUAGAUUCCCAAGGUCACGGAACCCGCAAGUUGAUCACCAAAACAUACAUCAAGUGGAUCAAUAGAAUACCCCAUUGUCACCACGGGUAUCCCACACAAGACAUACAUCAAGUGUUCUCAAAUCCUUAAAGACUCAAUCUGAUAAGAUAACUUCAAAGGGAAAACUCAAUCCAUUACAAGAGAGUAGAGGGGGAGAAACAUCAUAAGAUCCAACUAUAAUAGCAAAGCUCGCGGUACAUCAAGAUUGUGCCAAAUCAAGAACGAGAGAGAGAGAGAGAGAGAGAGAGAGAGAGCGAUCAAACACAUAUCUACUGGUACAUACCCUCAGCCCCGAGGGUGAAGUACUCGCUCCUCGUCAUGGAGAGCGCUGGGAUGAUGAAGAUGGCCACCGGUGAUGGAUCCCCCCUCCGGCAGGGUGCAGGAACAGGGUCCCGAUUGGUUUUUGGUGGCACAGAGGCUUGCGGCAGCGGAACUCCCGAUCUAGGUUGUUUUAUGGAGGUUUGGGGAUUUCUAGGAGAGGUUGGCAUCGAGAACAAGUCAAGGGGGCCCACGGAGAGUCCACGAGGCACAGGGGCGCACCCCAGGGGGGUGGACCGGCCCUCCACCCUCGUGGGUCCCACGGGACUCCCCUCCCGUAACUUUUCAUUCCAAUAUUUUUUAUAUUUACAAAAAAAAUGUCCGUUGAUUUUCAGCGCAUUCCGAGAACUUCUAUUUCUGCACAAAAACAAGACCAGGGUAGUUCUGCUGAAAACAGCGGCUGUUCGGGUUAGUUCUAACCAAAUCAUACCAAAAGCAUGUAAAAAUAUUAUAAACAUGGCAUGAAUACCUCAAAAAUUAUAGAUAUGUUGGAGACGUAUCAACAUCCCCAAGCUUAAUUCCUGCUCGUCCUCGAGUAGGUAAAUGAUAAAACUAGAAUUUUUGAUUUGGAAUGCUACCUAACAUAUUUAUCAAUGUAAUCUUCUUUAUUGUGGUAAGAAUAUUCCUAUCCAUAGAUUCAAAACAAAAGUUUAAUAUUGACAUAAAAACAAUAAUACUUCAAGCAUACUAAUAAACCAAUCAUGUCUUCUGAAAAUAACAUGGCCAAAGAAAGUUAUCCCUACAAAAUCAUAUAGUCUGGCUACGCUCCAUCUUCAUCACACAAAAUAUUUAAAUCAUGCACAACCCCAGUUUCAGCCAAGCAAUUGUUUCAUACUUUAGUAUUUUCAAACUUUUUCAACUUUCACGCAAUACAUGAGCGUGAACCAUGGACGUAGCACUAUAGGUGGAAUAGAAUGGUGGUUGUGGAGAAGACAAAAAGGAGAAGAUAGUCUCAGAUCGACUAGGCGUAUCAAUGGGCUAUGGAGAUGCCCAUCAAUAGAUAUCAAUGUGAGUGAGUAGGGACUACCAUGCAACGGAUGCACUAGAGCUAUAAGUGUAUGAAAGCUCAAAAAGAAACUAAGUGGGUGUGCAAACAACUUGCUUGCUCACAAACCUAGGGCAAUUUGAGGAAGCCCAUCAUUGGAAUAUACAAGCCAAGUUCUAUAAUGAAAAAUUCCCACUAGUAUAUGAAAGUUACAACAUAGGAGACUCUCUAUCAUGAAUAUCAUGGUGCUACUUUGAAGCACAAGUGUGGUAAAAGGAUAGUUACAUUGCCCCUUCUCUCUUUUUCUCUCAUUUUUUUUUUGUUUUUUUGGGCCCUCUUUUUUUUCUGGCCUCUUUAUUUAUUUAUUUUUUAUUUUUCAUCCGGAGUCUCAUCCCGACUUGUGGGGGAAUCAUGGUCUCCAUCAUCCUUUCCUCACUGGGACAAUGCACUAAUAAUGAAGAACAUCACACUUUUAUUUACUAACAACUUAAGAAUUAAAACUUGAUACUUAGAACAAAAUAUGACUCUAUAUGAAUGACUCCGGCGGUGUACCGGGAUGUGCAAUAAUUCAAGAGUGACAUGUAUGAAAGAAUUAUGAACAGUGGCUUUGCCACAAAUACGAUGUCAACUACAUGAUCAUGCGAAGCAAUAUGAAAAUUGUGAAGCGUGUCAUAACAAACGGAACGGUGGAAAGUUGCAUGGCAAUAUAUCUCGGAAUGGCUAUGGAAAUGCCAUAAUAGGUUGGUAUGGUGGCUAUUUUGAGGAAGGUAUAAGGUGGGUGUAUGGUACCGGCGAAAGUUGCGCGGCAUAAGAGGGGCUAGCAAUGGUGGAAGGGUGAGAGUGCGUAUAAUCCAAUCCAUGGACUCAACAUUAAUCACAACUAACUUACAUACUUAUUGCAAAAAUCUAUUAGUCAUCAAAAAAAGUACUACACACAUGCUCCUAGGGGAAGGGUUGGUAGGAGUUAACCAUCGCGCGAUCCCGACUCCACUCAUAAGGAAGACAAUCAAUAAAUAAAUCAUGAUCCAACUUCAUCACAUAAUGGUUCACCAUACGUGCAUGCUACGGGAAUCACAAACUUUAACACAAGUAUCUCUCAAAUUCGCAACUACUCCACUAGCAUGACUCUAAUAUCAUCAUCUUCAUAUCUCAAAACAAUUAUAAAGAAUCAAACUUCUCAUGGUAUUCAAUGCACUUUAUAUGAAAGUUUUUAUUAUAUCCCUCUUGGAUGCCCAUCAUAUUAGGACUAAAUUUAUAACCCAAGCAAAUUACCAUGCUGUUCUAAAGACUCUCAAAAUAAUACAAGUGAAGCAUGAGAGUUCAUCUAUUUCUUCCAGAUAAAACCACUAUCGUUCUCUAAAAAGAUAUAAGUGAAGCACCAGAGCAAACGACAAAGUACUCCAAAAGAUAUAAGUGAAGAUCAAUGAGUAGUCGAAUAAUUAUGUAACUAUGUGAAGACUCUCUAACAUUUAAGAAUUUCAGAUCUUAUGUACUUUAUUCAAACAUCAAGCAAAACAAAAUAAAACAAAAUGACGCUCCAAGCAAAACACAUAUCAUGUGGUGAAUAAAAAUAUAGCUCCAAGUAAAGUUACUGAUGAACAAAGAUGAAAGAGGGGAUGCCAUCCGGGGCAUCCCCAAGCUUAGGCUCUUGAUUGUCCUUAAAUAUUACCUUGGGGGUGCCUUGGGAAUCUCCAAGCUUAGGCUCUUGCCACUCCUUAUUCCAUAGUUCAUUGAAUCUUUACCCAAAACUUGAAAACUUCACAACACAAAACUCAACAGAAAACUCGUAAGCUCCGUUAGUAUAAGAAAAUAAAAUCACCACUUAGGUACUAUUGUGAACUCAUUAUAAAUUCAUAUUGGUGUUAUAUCUACUAUAUUUAACUUCUCUAUGGUUCAUACCCUCCGAUACUACUCAUAGAUUCAUCAAAAUAAGCAAAAAAACACAUAGAAAACAUAAUAUGUAAAAAACAGAACAGUCUAUAGUAAUCUGUAACUAUCAAAUACUUCUGUAAAUCCAAAAAUUCUGAAAUAAAUUGGUGGACGUUUGGAAUUUUUCUAUUAAUGUUCUGAAAAAAUAAUCAACUUAAAAGCACUCUUCUGUUAAAAAUGACAAUUAUUCUCAUGAGCGCAAAGUUUAUGUUUUUUACAGCAAGAUCGCAUUAACUUUCACCCAAGUCUUCCCAAAGGUUCUACUCGGCACUUUAUUGAAACAAAAGAUAUAAAACAUGAUUAAUACAAUAGCAUAAUCAUGUGGACACACAAAAACAGUAGGGGUAAAUGUUGGGUAGUCUCCCAACAAGCGCUUUUCUUUAAUGCCUUUUUAGCUAGGCAUGAUGAUGACAAUGAUGCUCACAUAAAAGAUAAGAAUUGAAACAUAACAGGAGCAUCAUGAAGUAUAUGACUAGCAAAUUUAAGUCUAACCCACUUCCUAUGCAUAGGGAUUUUGUGAGCAAACAACUUAUGGGAACAAGAAUCAACUAGCAUAGGAAAGCAAAACAAGCAUAGCUUCACGAUUUUCAACACAUAGAGAGGAAACUUUAUAUUAUUGCAAUUCCUACAAGCAUAUGUUCCUCCUUCAUAAUAAAUUUCAGUAGCAUCAUGAAUGAAUUCAACAAUACAACUAUCACAUAAAGCACUAUUUUCAUGGUGCACAAGCAUAGAAUUUUUAUUACUCUCCACAUAAAUUUUUUGCUUCUCAUGGAUAGUAGUGGGAGCAAACUCAACAAAAUAACUAUCAUGUGAGGCAUAAUCCAAUUGAAAAUUAAAAUCAUGAUGACAAGUUUCACAGUUAUCAUUCUUCUUUAUAGCAUACAUGUCAUCACAAUAAUCACCACGGAUAGCAACUUUGUUCUCAUAAUCAAUUGGAACCUCUUCCAAAAUAGUGGAUUCAUCACUAAAUAAGGUCAUGGCCCAAAUCAACUUUCAGAAUUAUAAUCAUCAUAGAUAGGAGGCAUGCUAUCAUCAUAAUAAAUUUGCUCAUCGGAAUUUGGGGGACCGAAAAUAUUAUGUUCAUCAAACAUAGCAUCCCCAAGAUUGUAGCUUUGCAUAUCAUUAGCAUCAUGGAUAUUCAAGGAGAUACUAACAACAUUACAAUCAUUCUCAUCAUUCAAAGAUUUAGUGCCAAACAUUUUAUUGCAUUCUUUGUCUAACACUUUGGAACAAUUAUCGGAGUCCUUAUUUUCACGGAAGACAUUAAAAAGCUGAAGCAUAUGUGGCAUCCUCAAUUCCAUUUUUUUGUAGUUUUAUUUUAUAAACUAAACUAUUGAUAAAACAAGAAACUAAAAGAUUCAAUUGGAAGAUCUAAAGACAUACCUUCAAGCACCAACCUCUUCGGCAACGGCGCUAGAAAAGAGCUUGAUGUCUACUACACAACCUUCUUCUUGUAGACGUUGUUGGGCCUUCAAGUACAGAGGUUUGUAGGACAGUAGCAAAUUUCCCUCAAGUGGAUGACCUAAGGUUUUAUCAGUCCGUGGGAGGCGUAGGAUGAAGAUGGUCUCUCUAAAACAACCCCACAACCAAAUAACAAAGAGUCUCUUGUGUCCCCAACACACCCAAUACAAUGGUAAAUGGUAUAGUUGCACUAGUUCGGCGAAGACAUGGUGAUACAAGUGCAAUAUGGAUGGUAGAUAUAGGUUUUUGUAAUCUGAAAAUAUAAAAACAGCAAGGUAACUAAUGAUAACAUUGAGCGAAAACGGUAUUGUGAGGCUUCGAAACAAGGCCUAGGGUCCAUACUUUCACUAGUGCAAGUUAUCUCAACAAUAAUAAAUAAUUAGAUAAUAUAACAACCCCUCAACAUGCAACAAAGAGUCACUCCAAAGUCACUAAUAGCAAAGAACAAAUGAAGAGACUAUUGUAGGGUACGAAACCACCUCAAAGUUAUUAUUUCUGAUCAAUCCAUUGGGCUAUUCCUAUAAGUGUCACAAACAGCCCUAGAGUUCGUAGUAAAAUAACACCUUAAGAUAUAAAUCAACAAAAACCCUAACGUCACCUAGAUACUCCAAUGUCACCUCAAGUAUCCAUGGGCAUGAUUAUGUGAUAUGCAUCACACAAUCUCAGAUUCAUCUGUUCAACCAACACAAAGAACUUCAAAGAGUGCCUCAAAGUUUCUACCGGAGAGUCAAGACAAAAACAUGUGCCAACCCCUAUGCAUAGAUUCCCAAGGUCACGGAACCCGCAAGUUGAUCACCAAAACAUACAUCAAGUGUAUCAAUAGAAUACCCCAUUGUCACCACGGGUAUCCCACGCAAGACAUACAUCAAGUGUUCUCAAAUCCUUAAAGACUCAAUCCGAUAAGAUAACUUCAAAGGGAAAACUCAAUACAUUACAAGAGAGUAGAGGGGGAGAAACAUCAUAAGAUCUAACUAUAGUAGCAAAGCUCGUGGCACAUCAAGAUCGUGCCAAAUCAAGAACACGAGAGAGAGAGAGAUCAAACACAUAGCUACUGGUACAUACCCUCAGCCCUGAGGGUGAACUACUCCCUCCUCGUCAUGGAGAGCGCCGGGAUGAUGAAGAUGGCCACCGGUGAUGGAUCCCCACUCCGGCAGGGUGACGAAAUAGGGUCCCGAUUGGUUUUUGGUUGCUAUAUAGGCUUGCGGUGGCGGAAUUCCCGAUCUAGAUUAUUUUCUAGAGGUUUGGGGAAUGAACAUGUCAGGGGGGCCCAUGGAGAGUCCACGAGUCACAGGGGCGCCCCCCAGGGGGGUGGGCAAGCCCUCCACCCUCGUCGGGCCCAUGGGACUCCCCUCCAGUAACUUUUUGUCCCAAUAUUUUUUAUAUUUUCCAAAAAAUAUCUCCGUUGUUUUUCAGUGCAUUCCGAGAACUUUUAUUUCUGCACAAAAACAACACCACGGUAGUUCUACUAAAAACAGCGUCAGUCCGGGUUAGUUCUAACCAAAUCAUACCUAAAGCAUGUAAAAAUAUUAUAAACAUGGCAUGAAUACAUCAAAAAUUAUAGAUACGUUGGAGACGUAUCAGUCCCCAAGAGGAAAUAUUUUGAUCAACAGACUAAGAAAUGUUUUAACUGUGCCCGCAGUUGGCGCCGAUGAGGUCGAGUCCCUGAACGCACCCUUGCCCAGGCCAAGAAGGUAGCAGAGGCGAGCAAGGCGGUCGCAGAGAAGCCGACCGAACGCUUAGAGGAGGAGAAGACCACCCGCCAGCAGCAAGAGGCACGGGUGUGUGAGGUUGAAAAAGAGGCCAAGGACGCUAUUGCUAGAUGUGAGUCCUUGGAGCAGAUGAGCUCGGAACAUGCCUUCGAGCUUGCCAAAGCCCAUGAGAGCCUGAAGGAAGCCCGGGCUGAUGCCCGGGACGCUCUCCAAGAAAUCCAGGAGGCGAGGAGUAUUGCGGCUGGUAAGGCCUUUAUUGUGGAGAGUAGGUAUACCAAUAGAAGAUAUAUUUUACUAACCCGAGUUUGGAGUUCUCCAGGCGCCUUUGCCGAUCUGCCAAGAAGCAUUGCGGACGCUGCCAUAUUCUUCCGAGCCGAAGAGGGAAGUUCUACGGAGAAACUAUACUGGUCGCAGUACCUAGCGCCGGAGCUUCUAGUGUCCCUGAGUGACCAGAUGAAGCAGUUGUCCGAGCUACAUACGAUGGCUGAUCUGGCCAUGAAGGACAUGGUAGCCCGUCUGUGGUCGGCCGAAGCCAUGCCUAGCAGCCACUUUGGGCUCGUGAAGAAACUUGUGGAGGCGCUCCCUCGGAUUGUUGCCCUUAAGCGGUCAUACUGUAUUGAGGAUUCUCGGAUGGCCUUUGCCCGUGUGAAGGUUUAGUGGGAGAAGAUGAAAUCCACCGAGGUUGCAACCGCAGGGCCACUUGAGGGCAAGGAACUGUGGCACCCUGGCUCAGAGCAACCGGUUUACCAUGCAUUGCCAGCCCAGACACCAUGUCUUCUGGCAACACACAACAUCUUGGUACAGAAAACAACCGCUUUAUUGAUGCUAGCAGAUCAAAGUUUAUAUUACAACAGGUAGCGAGGCCAAGCGGCACACACGGUGCGGCUGAACAAUAUGUACAUUAUUUAGUGAACAUAAAUGGUGCCUCGAUCAUCACAACUACACGGCAGCGGAACAACGUCAUAGCGGAACUCCAUAGCACAGGGACGCCGAUGUGGACAAUAUCUAGACUCGGACAGCACUCCUUUCCAACGAGACUUUCCUGAAAUCUGGACACGCUAGGUCAGUACAUCGAAUGUACUUGCAAGCUCACAACAAGCAUAAACAUAAUGACAAACAAUAUCAUGAUAAUUUAACCAAUUCAUAAUAAUGCAACAAUAUAUCCAACAUGCUGUGAACAUACUCUUGUGAUAAAAGUCCCUCAGACUACCUUACCAACGGUGAUCUCUCUUGGAUCACAGACAUACCAACCUCAAGGUAUUAACUAGAAACAUCUCGUGAUCAUUCCGGCGAUCACAACCACGACCAAUAUUUGGUCUUAAACGGUGAUCCCGCCGGCGAUCACAACGACGACCAACACUUGGUCUAAAACAAUAAGAUGACCUUUCCGCCAUCAUCAACAGUGCCAAGUUCAUAACUUAGUGUGCAAGAUUUAUUAAAUGUUGACCCAUGGUGUGACCUACUUUCAAGCGUGUCCAUAACCGUGGACUCGGCUAUCGAUAGAUUAAUACACUCUGCAGAGGUAGCGCACUGUACCCACACCACGGAACCCAUGGCCUCGCACUCCCAUUCGGGUGGACCAACGACAUUCCAACGAAACCCUUCCAUUGCCAUGACACUCUCCCGGCCACUCUGACUCACUCCCCACUAGGCUAGUCCUGGGUGGCCCCGUGUCUACCAAAGACACAAUGACCACCGUCGUGGCCAAAACAUAAACGAUCCCACACGGGGACCCCAUAAACUCAACAACGAGCACACAAGGUUAUGGCUGCUUACCGGGCCAGGGUACCGCACGCCCAUAACUUUCCCUCGUUGGAGGCACCGACCAGAGGCAUGACAACGGACCGAAUAAAGGCCUUCCCAUAAAGGCAAAUGUGGUUGCACUGGGAAAAAAACUUGAUUCAGUGGCACCAUUACCCGGUCAACAAUAUAUUCAAGUUGAGUUAUUAACAGUUUCAACUUAAUGUGAAAAUAACCGGUGUCAUAGCAUGCCAUGAAAUGCAACUCUAACAUGCAUCACAUAUCAAUGAAAAUGACUGAGUCAACUAUAUCCACACUAAGCAUAAUCAUCAGCAACUCAUGACACUUCUUUGGUUAAGAUUAAACCUCACUUUAUUCAGAAUCUUUUCUAGCAAAUUUUACCAUUUUUACUCAUGCAAGAAAAUAACUCCACUAAUUAUUUAUAUCCAUAACCAUAUUAUUCUUUUAAUCACCCAAAAUAAAUCAUAGUUUCUUUACCAACUAAGUUCGCCUCAAACUUUCUGUAAAUCAAGCAUAUUAAAUAAAACAAGCAAUUAACAGAAUAUAAUUAACAUAAUAGUGAUUUAAAUGCAUGGAUUAAAUCAUUCACUCAAGUAGAAAAUCACAAAUAUUGUAAUGGCACCAUGAAAAUGUUGCUGUGGCUUGCCUUAGUGCAGAUGAGGUUCACAAGCCUCCAGGUGAUCCUCAACACAAGCCUCACCCUCUGAAAAUAAUUAAAAGCACAAAAAGAAAAUAUCAAGAACCCUUUCGAAAUUCACCAGAAAAUCUAGACAGCAGGGAAAAAAAUCCCAUCUUUGGUGAGCUGCUAGAUUUUUGAACAAAGAACACAAUGCAAAAAGAAUCAAUUCAUUUGGACUUAUGGUUAAAAAGUUGUGGCUGUUUGAAUUUAAAUAAACAGACUGAGGGGGGGGGGGUGACGUCGAAGGCGUAAUGCCUCGGGGCGCCACCACUCAUACCGCUUCGCGCGUGUACUGAGUGGAUGACUAGCGGUCUCCGCUAGUCAGGUGAGGGGGAGAGAGAGAGGGAAACAGAGGACAGCACGGCUUCGUCGGAGCGCACGCCGGUGACAAGGGCUCCUUGGCCAGAACGAGAGGGAGGGAUCGAAAGAGGAGACGGAGGCGCACCUGCCCGUACUCAUAGAGUAGCUAGGGGUGGUCGAACGGCACCAGAAUCAGCCUCUCCUACGGAGGCAGAGAGCAGAGGUCACCGGAGACGAAGACGACGGUGAACGGAGGCGACUCCAGGGGCUCCAACCGGGCAGAACAACACCACCGACGAGCGGAGGAGUCCCUGGAAGAGUUGCCCUGGCCUGGGAGGGGCUGGAACCGCGGAGACAACCCGAGGGGAUCGCCGGCGAACUCGAGCUCGGGGACGGUGGCCCGCGGCCUGCCCGGCCGGGCUACGGCUUUCUACGUGCUUGUGGAGUGUGUGGGAGUGGUGGAUGGUGCUCGAGGAGGCUGGGGAGGGCCCUAUUUAUAGCCGAGCGUCAAGGGGGGUUCGGGCUCCGCCGGUGGACACCUGGCCACGGCACCCGGCAACGAACGACGUCAGUGAGAGGGGGUGAAGAAGACGCAGCUCACGCAAGAACUAUGGGAUAAAGGGGACGAGCAUAGGGGCGAGAGGAAGGUGACGAGCACAGUGCGCACUGCACUAUUGCGUUGGACGGACCGUGCCUAUGCCCGCUGCGGCGAGCUCCGGCGUUGGCGAGCGCCAGGGGGGAGCUAAAAAGGUCGAGACAAUGAUCAUGGUGAAGUUUGGUACGCUCAGGCAGGCGGGGAAGCGAGCAUGCGCGCAACAGAGCACUCGGCGGCACUCAGAGUGCGUCGGCUGCAUGCCUGCACACCUGGACGAACGCGGUCACGCUACAAAAAAAGACACAUCCGUGACAUUUUGGGCCGAACGAAUUUUUUUCUGUCAUACAUAUGACACUUCUAUGACGAUAAUUGUGACAAAACCCGGUAUCAUCAUAGAUGUGGUGGGCUCCUACUUCUAUGACAAAAAAUCAUGACAGAAAAUGGGCUUUUCAUCCUGGGCGGGCCGGAGACGCAGCUGCAUGACAUUCUUUGGGCCGUCCAUGACGGAAAAAACCAUGGUAGAAGCGAGGGGGAGGAUAAUUUUGGGGAGUUGCCGGUUACGGUGGAAGGUCGGGGGCGGAGCGAUGCGCGUUUCUCUCGUACGUACGCGCGUGUGUGCGAGGCGUUGGCUCUAACUGAACCCGAGCGAGGCGUUGGGCUCUAACUGAACCCAAGCAAUUGCACUGCACGCUACGCGUUACUGAACCCGAGCGAUCGAUCGAUGGCUGUUAACUGAACCCGAUGGAGCGAUUCCUUUGCUACUGCUGCUAACUGAAGCCGAUCGAUGCUGCCUCUAGGAUGAACAGUGAGCGUUGUGGGGGGGGGGGUUGGAUGAACAGUGAGUGGUGGCGUUGCCUCUGGAUGAACAGGACCUGUGGUGUGGAGGGCUGGAUGAAUAGUAGACGAUGGAGGGGUGGCCGUGGAGGGGUGGUUGAACCGGACCCUGUGGUGUGGAGGGCUGGAUGAACAGUAGACGGUGGAGGGGUGCCCGUCGAGGGAUGGUUGAACAGUAGCCGGUGGAGUAGCGCACGGUGGAGGGUGGAUGAAUAGGAGCCCGUGGAGGCUGGAGGAGGUCGACGGUAGCCCGUGGAGGCUGGAGGAGGUCGACGGUGGAGAUGAACAGUAUCUCGUGGAGUCCCGUUUUGUGGUACGCCACACCCCUCCCUCCCCACCCCCCGUUUCGACCAUAGCGCUCCAACACAAGUCCGUUUCGUCCGUUUUGCGGUACGCCACACCCCUCCCGAUGAACAGGACCCCCGUUUCGACCGUAGCCCUCCAACACAAGUCCGUUUCGUCAGUUUUGCGAUACGCCACACCCCUCCCGAUCAACAGGACCCCCGUUUCGACCAUAGGAGGUCCGUUUCCUCCGUUUUGCGGUACACCAGGCCCCUCCCGAUCAACAGGACCCCGUUUCUAACGUGGCCGGUCGAACACAAGGGUGUUUCCUUCGUUGUGCGGUAUGCCAGGCCUCGUUUCCAUCGCCUGUUCCGUCCAAGCCUUCCCAAUGAAGACGACCACGUAUUCCGUUCCGACCCAGCCGGUUGGCUCCCCAUGAACACGACGACGAUGCUGUUUCUCCGUUCCGACCCAGCCAUGUACGUAUGUGCGAUAGGCGUUAGAGACCCUGCCCGUAUGUACGUACGUGGCCGUAUUUUCUUUCUUGCACCCUCACCGCUGUACGUACGUGUACAUGCUACGUGCGCGCCUCUACUACGACACGUGCGCGCCUCUACAUCUACGACACGUACGCGCCUCUACAUCGACCAGUAUGUACGUACACGUUCGCGACCAGAAUGACAACGCUACGUACGCUUCGACCAGGUGGGUCCCGACUGUCAGGCACUUCCUUGCGUGCGAAGAUGUAGCUGGUGGGUCCCAGCAGUCAGGGGGGCGAAUCGUUUUUUUUGCCCGGACACACUUCCUUGUGUGCGAAAAUGUAGCUGGUGGGUCCCAGCAGUCAGGGGGCGAAUCGUGUUUUUGCCUGGACGCACUUCCUUGCAUGCGAAGGUGCAGCUGGUGGGUCCCAACAGUCAUGGGGGAAACAUUUCUUUCACGAAAUACUGUGGCCCGUCCGGUGGGUCCCAGCUGUCAGGUGGAGGAAUAAUUAUUUUCCGCGUAAUAAGGAGGCACUUCCUUGCUGCGGACGUGGACCCAGCUGUCAGCCUCUCCACAUACAGUCCACGUCUGAUGGAAGUUGUUCCUUGACCACGUUGACCACGCCGCGCCGAGAGCACCAGGGAGGUGGAUGACGGCGAGGCCUAGGAAGGGUACGCCGAGGAGCCGGGGAAGACGCGGCAGUGGAAGCCCGCGCGGAGAGGAGUACGAGGGUUCACUGGUUCGGCUGCGGUGUGAGGCUGCCGUCGCCGCAGGGCCUAGCCAGCGGUGGGAAUAGUAGGGGGCGGUGAGGCCUGCGCGACAGCACAUCCGGCCAUGGGAAGCAGGAGCAUGCGGCACGACCGACACUGCUUUGGGCGGCUGGAGCAAGAAGACCAGAGGUUGAAGAAGCACUACGGCCGUUGGAUGGACAUUGUACGGUCACUGGAGCUAGAAUCAUUUAUAUUGACUAUGUUGACAAAGCCCUUCAUCCCCGUCAACUUAGUAGGCCCACAAGUCAGCCUCCCAUCAAGGUGGGUCCCAGCUAGCAGGGGGUAUUCAUUUUUUUGUGCGUAAUAAGGAGGCACUUCCGGUGGGUCCGAGCUGACAGCAGGGGGAACGUUUUUUUCACGAAAUACGGUGGCCCAUCGGGUGGGUCCCAGCAGUCAGGGGUAAACAUUUUUUUUCGCAAAAUACUGGUGGCCCGUCUGGUGGGUCCCUGCUGUCAGGUGGAGGAAUAAUUAUUUUCCGCAUAAUAAGGAGGCACUUCCUUGCGGCUGUCGUGGACCCAGCUGUUAGCCUCUUCACGUACAAUAUUCUUCCGAUGGAAUUCGGUCGUUGACCACAUUGACCACGCCGUGCCGAGAGCACCACGGCGGUGGACGACGGCGAGGACUAGGAAGGGGAUGACACAGAGCCGGGGAAGACGCGGCAGUGGAUGCCCACGCGGAGAGGAGUACGAGGGUUCACUGGUUUGGCUGCGCUGCCGUCGCCGCAGAAUAACAGGUGGUGUGGGUGAGUGGAGUGGAGGGAUGGCCUGGCCAGCGGUGGGAGUAGUAUGAAGGCGGUGAGGCCUCCGCGGCAGUACAGCCGCCCACGAGAGGCAGGAGCAGGCGGCACGACCGGCGCUGCUUUGGGCGGCUGGAGCAAGAAGACCAGAGGUUGAAGAAGCACUAUGGCCGUUGGAUGGAUAUCGUACGGUCACUAGUGCUAGAAUCGUUUAUAUUGACUAAGUUGAUAAAGCUCUCCGUCCCCGUCAACUUAGUAGGCCCACAAGUCAGCUUCCCACCAAGGUGAGCCCCAGCUAGCAGGGGGAGUAUUCAUUUUUUUGUGUGUAAUAAAGAGGCACUUCCGGUGGGUCCGAGCUAACAGCCGGGGGAACGUUUUUUUCGUGAAAUACGGUGGCCCGUCCGAUGGGUACCAGCAGUCAGGGGGGAAACGUUUUUUUCCGCGAAAUAAGGUGGCCCAUCCGGUGGGUCCCUGUUGUCAAGUGGAGGAAUAAUUAUUUUGUGCGUAAUAAGGAGGCACUUCCUUGCGGCCGCCGUGUACCCACCUGUCAGCCUCUCCACGUACAGUACUCUUCCGAUGGAAGUCGGUCGUUGACCACGUUGACCACGCCGCACCAAGAGCACCAGGGCGGUGGACGACGAUGAUGCCUAGGAAGGGGACGACGCGGAGCCGGGGAAGACGCAGCAGUGGAAGCCCGCGCGGAGAGGAGUACGAGGGUUCACUGGUUCGGCUGCGGUGUGAGGCUGCCGUCGCCGCAGAAUAACAGCGGGUGUGGGUGAGUGGAGGGAUGGCCUGGACAGCGGUGGAAGUAGUAUGGGGGCGAUGAGGCCUCCGCGGUAGCACAGCCGGCCACGGGAGGCAGGAGCAGGCGGCACGACCGGCGCUGCUUUGGGCGGCUGGACCAAGAAGACCAGAGGUUGAAGAAGCACUACGGCCGUUGGAUGGACAUCGUACGGUCACUGAAGCUAGAAUCAUUUAUAUUGACUAAGUUGACAAAGCCCUUUGUACGCUCCAACUUAGUAGGCCCACAGGUCAGCCUCUGAAAUGGUGCACCCCAGAUGUCAGGGGGAGGAAUCAUUUUUUGGGCGGCCGAAGCUAAGAAUAUCCGAGAUUGAAGAAGAAGCACGACAUCCGUUGGAUAGACAUCCAACAGCCACUGCUACUAGAACCGUGUGUUGACUAUAAUAAGUUGACAAAGCCUUGCAUAUGCGUCAACUUAUUUUUUUUAGGGGACGCGUCACUUAGUAGGCCCACAAGUGUAUGGCAGAGAACUUAUAGCCCAUUUGCGUUUUGUAAGAAUGUACAUCCCAUUUUUGAAUUCUAAUGGAAUUUACAACAGCGCAUUUACAGUUUGUUAAAAGUACAACCCAUUUUCUAGUUAGGACAACGAUUAAUAAUUUCAACCAACCGUUGAAGACAAAAUUCAAUAAAAUUUCCCACAUUUUUAUGGGAUCCGAAAUAUUUUUAUCCCAAAAUUUCUAUUCAGACUAAAUAUAAAUUUGUAUUACGUAAAAAUCCAACAAAACAUUCCGCGCGCAAUAAUGAAAAUUUAAGAUUUUCAAAAUCCAUAAAUAAUAUUUUAUAAACUAAUUUCGUGUUUGGUGCAUUUUUUUAUAGUUACUGCCCAGUUUUUAUAAUUACAUCCCAUUUAUUAUUAAAGCCCAUUUUCCUAUUAAGCCUAAUGCAUCCCUCCUAGGAAAAAUUUGCAGCACAGCGGGGCGGAGAAUAACAAGUUGACCUUGCCUAGGUAUUCCUCAAAAAGACGUAUAGCUGGGCUACCCAUUUUCACCUUGAAAAAAGUAGUAUCUGGGCUGGAUAUCUGGCCUGGGCUAGACGGGCCACAGCCCGCCCAGUUAAUACCCUGCUCUCCUCUGAACAACAACGAAAUCAUCGCCAAGAAAAACUCUGCAGUGCUCACACCUCCAAAACACAAAUACUGCUCGAGCUGCUUGGUCCCAGCUGUCGACCGCACCUUGUGCAAUUCUCUCGUUUAUAUUGACUACAUAGGUUGACAAUGGUGUUGGACCGUGAUGUCAGGAAACCAGGAGAAAGCAAAAAAAAAUAUAGUUGUACAUAAUAAGGAGGCACUUGCGUACGUACGGCUAUGGCCCUAGUGGGUCCCUAGUGUCAUCCAGUCAAAAUAAAGUCAUCUCCUGAAUCCUCAUGUUCGUUGACCAUGUUAACAAUGCUCGGUGCCACGGCGAGUGCAACAACUCGAAGGACAACGGAGAGGGCCUCGCGGGCCUUACGGAGGUCUGAUACAGCGCCCGCUGCUCAUUCAGGAAGCCAGGAUCAUCGGACACCUAUGACCACCUUCGAGAAACUAAGACGACAUGAAAUGGUAAGGCCGCGCUUGGGAGCUCUGGUUUAUUUCAAACCUGUAUUAACAUACAAGUGUAAUUUACUCGUCAUCGGAAGGCCCGAGGUCUGUAAGUAAAACCGGCGGGUUACGCGUGUAAUUUGAGGGACUAGUGUAUCUUUUACGAGCAUUGCUAUAUGGACGAUAUUACCAGACGAUACAUGCACGAUGUGCGUAUCAUGCCAUGCAUGGGCAAGGCUGAAACAGCACCUAACGGCUGGAUUAGCAAUCGUCCGAGUGUCGUUCAGCGUUUUUCUCAUGUGUGAAGUACUUCUGAUAUUUUACUAGUCAAAAUCGACUAACCAAGUGCCUUCGCCCGGGACCAUCUGCUUUAAUUUACAAGUGUCAGUUUAACAAGCGGUUUUGGUUGGAAAACGACGAUCCAAUCACGGCCUAAUAUCAUGAGUUGGUUGGAAGAUCAUAUGGUUUCACGUCUAACCUACCCGACAUGUCGUAUAGGCUAUGAAUGAAACAUCAGACGAUGAACUUCUUACGCACGGAAACAACAGAAGAGGAUGAUCUUCUUAACAAGCAAAUCACUGGCAUUAGAUCGACAUGCAAAACAAUACGAAGCAUUAUUCUCAGGAGGCACGGUGAACAGCUCGUGACGCCGCAUGCCACAACAUUCCAAGCUCAACUUUGCAAUCGAACACAAGGCCUGGAAUUACAUAGACAAUAUUCAGAACAAACUCUUAACACAGGAAUAUCUCAGCAGAGUAACUAUUUACUUCUAAAUUGAACACAGGAAUAGGAAAAAACACUCGACGCUGCUCACAGCAAGGGCGUCCCACUCAAAAAUAUCAAAUGCAUGUCUUCUGGCUAACAUUAAUGAGCAAAUUUUGACAAGAUUUUCCAAUUCCAAUAUAUUGAACUAACGUCUUGUUGCAAACAUCAAUGAGCAAAUUUUGACAAGGUUUUCCAAUUCCAAUAUAUUAAACUAACUUCUUCUUGCUAACAUCAAUGAUUAAACUUUGACAAGCUUUUCCUAUUCAAAAUAUGUAAUGCCUAUGAUCGUGUCCUGUCUUAGCUUCUUGUACUUGUUUGGGCACUUUUUGCCCAAGGCACUCCACGUGUUGUUAAAUUGCCAAUGGUCUCUGCAGACUAGUCAUGUCACCGGUGUCUAAUAAUACUCUAUAAAGCUUCUCGGUCAUUCCUUCUGUAAUGGACCGCAUCCAGUGAAUGCUUCUUUCUGCAAAGUAGAACGACCAACUGGACCCAGUAACGCAGCAGUUUGCCUUGGACACAUUGGCUCCUUUUGUGCAGUUCAACUAAAAUCGAAGUCAGAAUAAAACCGAGCUUUAAUUUUGAGAUCCCUGUAAGCAACAAUAGGUAUAAGGGAAACAAUUACUGAAAAAUAACGGUUGUUGACUUGCCUUAAUGGGAAACAAAGGAGGAGAGGAGCAAUUCUCCAUCAAUGUGAUUCAUUCAUAUUGACUGAGGCAUUAUCUUAACAAUGCCUUGGUUAAACAUGUAUAAAGAACGACAAAGCAGAAAAGUACCAUUCCUAAAACAAUGCAACUGAUUCAUUUUUAAAGAGACAUUAUCUUAACAAUACCUUGGUUAAACAUGUAGAAAGAACUACAAAGUAGGAUAGUUCCAUUCCUAACAAGUGUUGCAGUUUUGAACUAAGAUUCAAUAGUUAAUUAAUUCUGAGAGUGGCAUUGCUUAAUUUUACCAGCGGCAUUAGAUUAACGAAAAGCAUAAACAGUUCCAGGGGAGAGUGGGCGCAACAACAAUAUGUGCUUCCAUCUACUUAUAAAGGGGGUGAUGCAGAGUUUGUUGUAACAAAGCAACAAGCAUCAUGUCUAGGUUGGUCCCAUUUUUGUUCACUACUUAAUGGGAAAAGACAGCAAUACAAUAGCUUCAAUUCAACAUUUAUUUAAAACAGUACCAAUACAAGUAGCACAACAUCUCAAAGCACACUGCACAAUCAUGUGGGUGAAGGCCUGUUGACCUUUCAUGAGAACACCAGGAUAAAAUAUGAAUCCGCUAACACGAAUAGGAAAUCCAAUCUCAUUUUGUGCAGUUGCACUGAAAUCAAGCAAAGUGUUUCGCGUAGCGAAGCAAAAUGUCGCAAUAGCAACAAGUUGAAUACAUAUCAUGUAGUAGAGACCAAGAUUUGAAACAACUCGACAGGAACAAUGGAAACAAAUCUCGAUCUCCUUUUGUGCAGUUCCACCAAAAUUAAGCAAAGUCACCGGUGUGACAUUCAAGUUGAACUGCACAAAACACUCUUAAAACAUAAGUGUUUCGAGUAGCGAAGUAAAAUGUCGCAAUAGCAACAAGUUGAAUCGAUACCCCUGUUUUAACAGAGGCAAAAAAGGAAACAAUUACUUGCCGAUAAAGGAGGAUGAAACAAACGGUGACAGAAAGAAGCAUCUAACUUAUCUUGGAUGGAAACAAAGUAGGAUAGUAGCAUUUCUAAAACGGUAGCAUUGAUUCAUAUUAACAGAGACACUCUCUUGAAACAACAUUCGUUAAAAAAUGUACUUUACUUUUAACUGUGGCAUUGCUUCAAUUUUCCGGCGGCAUUCUAGGGCCUGUUUGGUUCCAAUAAGUCACCAGUGACUUAUAAGUUAUGCAUGUUUGGUUGUCACCUGACUUAUAAGUCAUCUGACAUACCUUCCCACACCAAUCAACAUCAUGUAGCUGGUGGGACACACGUAAAAGGGGGUGACUUAUAAGUUUUAAGUUGGGGUGGAGCAACUUAUGACUUAUAAGUUAGGGUGACUUAUAAGUCGGGUCUGUUUGGCAAAAUAAGUCACUUUUUUCACUAUUCGACUUAUAAGUUGGUGACUUAUUUGGAACCAAACAGGCCCUUAGAUUAACAACAGCAAAAUAGCUGUAUGGCACAUGCUAGCACCAUGUGCGUCCACACGUAUAAAUGGGUGAUGCAGAGUAUGUAGCCAAGCAACAUAUCUGUGUUGCUCCCAUAUUUGUUCUCUUUGAACUUUUUUCCUAUGUGAGGGUAGCAAAUCUAGUCCUGCACAAACUAUCCGACCCCCCCCCCCAGUUUCUUUCCCUUUUCAACAAAGAGAUCGGUUCCUUACAGAUGUGUGUACUGGGUUACCCCCUUUUUCCCUUUUCGACCAACAAAGCGGCUGGAUAGCCAGUUUAUACUACUUUUCCUCCCUCCUUUCCUCAUUGAACCACGUCCUAGAUUCAUGCUCCACCCCACCGCACCUUUCUUUCCUCUUUGAACCAAGACCUAGAUUCGACUACAGAUCGAAAAAGAUCCACAUGUAGCUAGAGCAACGAUGGUUUCAAAGAAAACUUAUACCUUAGGGUCGUCGGGAUGUGGAAAGGCGUGCGGUGGGAGGCCGGAUUUGCCCACACUACGUACGGAAGCGAGGAAGAAGGGGUCGGUGGCCCUCCCGCACAGGCGCUGGGUGAAAGAGAACAGCGCAGCCGACAGUGGAUUGCCUCCCUCGCCGAAGGCGAUAGAGUUAACGUUGCACCUCCUCCCCUUCCCGGUGCGACGGGAUACGGAUGCCUCCUUCACCAGCUGUGAGGGGGAAAGAGACAAGAGGCCAAUGCAGUCUUGUUUAGAUCUGGUGAAGAGAGGGUGAGAGACUGUGAAUAUAGCAAACCCUAGCAAAUGAAUGCUGAGCCUCCAGCGUGUAACAUAUAUGUAUUGCGGCGAGCGUGUGGAGAGUGCAAACCCUAGCGAACAAGCGAUGAGGCUCCCGCUUAUAUAUAUACUAAUGUAGUACGGACUGAGCUCCAGUGCCUUCACUCCAUGUGCUUUUGGUUGUAUGACAGGUGAGCUAGCCACAUUUUGGGCCCACCUGUCAUAAACCCAAAGGCAGGUGCACUAAGUCAAUGAAGCUGCGUCCAUAUAGUACUCUCGUGUGUAUACGACAAAUAUAUAGUGGAGUAGUUUUCUUAUUCUCUCCAUAACAAUCGUUUUAAAUUGUGUAAGUACGAAACAAAACUCUUUAUUUAAUGUACAGAGGGAGUACUACUUCUGAUGAACUAACGAUCCACGCCCACGCGUCCUGGUCACACUUCCUGUCCUUCACGUGUGGUACACUACCCUCCCUUAAGUGAACAACCACACAUGCGCCAAAUUAUCGGAAACGUGUGACAGUUUGUACAAAUAAAGAAUUUUAAUUUCAAUUAUCGGAAAGGUUUGAGAGUAUUACAAAGUUUGACUUUAGUCAAAUCUAAUAUGCAGAGUAAAUAAAAAUGGAGGGCUACUACGUCCAUCCGGGUUUUUAGUACACACUAUUUUUUAAAUCAAAGUUAAUAGCUGGACAAAUAAAAUUACAGGGGAGCUGGAGACAAAGUUGUGAGAAGGCUUAGAAAUCUAUACUACCUCCUUUCCAGUUUAUAGGGCUCAAUUUAAAAAUCUCACCAACCAAGAUAGAUGAUGAGUGGUGGAAUAAUUUUCGUGGUUUGUAAAAUCACUCAAUUAAUGCGCUCAUUUUCCUCAAAGAAUUGUGUUUACCAAUGCAUUAUUUGCAAUGCAUGCAUGCAUGGAGUACAUGCAUUGGUCAAGUUUCUCAUAAUACUUGCAUGCAAUGAAUUAAUGCACCUUGAAAUCUGAGCAUGUGAUGAGGAACAAUCAAAUUGAGACUUAUAAAAUGGGAAACCAAAUUUUUUGAGAUAAGCCCUAUAAACCGGGAAGGAGGGAGUACAAAACUUAUGCUCUUAGUACCAACGUCGAUCCUUCUUCGAGGAAACAUUUGGUUCAUAGCCAAUUGUGUGAUAAAAUUGCUCCAACGUGAAAGACGACUGCGUCUCCAAGGUGAACUGACGAAGGAUAUCAUCUUUGUGCGUAACAAGCAAAGAGCACUGAUGGAAGACAGCGUGUUUUUCAUUUAAAAUCAAUCAGCUUCACCAGCCGACGCAACCAUGAGGCGCGACCAUGAGCAUCGAUAGUUUGUGGUCUAUUUUUUUUGUCCUAGUUUUUUUGUUUCUUGUUGCUACAUUAUAUACUUGUGGGAGCUUAGAUGUGAUAUCCUUAAAUAACAUCUAGAUGUGAAUUGGACAAACUGAUUUUCUAACGUACCAAGAAAUAAAACUCGAUCAAAAACACGCCCCCGCUUCCAGGUCGCGAGAGUCGUCACACACACACACAUAGACAUAGACAUGCAUAUCCGUGUUUACGUAAAAUUCCAUUUCCAUCUCCAUCUCCAAUCAUAUUUGUCCAACUGGCACGUUAUUCACGUUGUUAAUUAUAUACGCAGCAAUAUUAACGUACAACAUCUCUUGUUUGCGCACGUCCGGACCGCUGCCACGGCCGGUCCUGACCAACCCGAACCCUCUUUAUCACCCGCGUGUGCUUCCCGCCCGAAACGGUCAGUGCCGCAUUCAUGCCCGGCUAGAGCGGACGCGACCUCUCACUGGCGCCGGCAUUGAAGCGACACGCCGGCCGAGAGAGCAUCGCCCGUGCCGCUUCCGGGUGCACGCGGCUGCUCCGCGUUCAAAGGUCGCAAUAGCAGGCUACAACAUGCAUGUAAAAAGUUUUUGGGAGUCCGUGCUACAGCUAGCUGUCCUCCCCCAACUCGUCAAUCUCUUCCAGUAGUGCUAGUAGUACUCCAUGGCGUGACCCAUCGACUAGCAGGCGGGAAAGUUAUCGUAUACUCGGUAUGCGGUGAGUGGCAUGCCGAGCGACAAUGUGGGGUCGAGCCGUGGAGGAGGGUGAGACACGAACACGACAGACGUGAUUUACUGUGUGAUUUGACUGCUCCUUAGUGGCCCCUACACGUACUCCCCCUACGUGUAUGCAACAGUCACACGUACACAUGGACGCAAAAACGCGCGCGACGUCCUAAUGCAUGCAUGUCCGAGCACAUGACGGAACACACACGGUCACGCUAAGUGCUCAGCCUACAUGUGCAUGCACACACAUACUCAGUCAGGGUGAGCUAGUGACCGUAUAAACACCGGAAUAUAUAUAUAUUGAGCACAAUGAGCGUAUUAUGAAGUCCACUGACCGUAUUUUUACAAAUAUACAGUGACAGACCGUGUAUUUAUCUCGUUUGAAAGUAAUCCAUAUUAACCGGAGAGGAGGCAGUAUGGACUAGCAUUACUUGCGCGCGGUGGCUCGCAGGACAAGGAGAAACUUUUGACUAAUGCAAGCUCUCCCUCGCUCAGGCGGUGGACGUGCAACAGUUAAUUCGAUGUCAGAUUGCCAGAAGCAUACACUAUACUACUAGUUCUACUAUUGUUCGACUUCCCGAAUAGGCGAACAACCAAGCGCAAAGUUUACUAAUAUAGUCUAUAUAGGUACGUACUAUACUAGUACUAGGAACCGGUUGGAGGAGCGUCUGCACUCUUAUUGUAAUUUUAAAAUGUGAUAAAGCAAUCUUCAACACAUUUGGUUAUCUUCGAGGGUUCUCGCAUGUGAUAAUGGAAGUUGAUUGCAUGGAACACUCGCCCCAAUUCUCGCUUAAUUCUGGCUCAUAUCCUGUUACAAAUAGUAGCGCUCGGUAAUAUUUCAUCUUUUUUUGUUAUUCAGCAUGUAAGCAGGUCAGCAAACCUUGCGGCGCAUCUUCGUGCGAACCGUGCUUGCUGCACUUUGAAUGUGGCCGAGAGCUGGCUUGAUGAAACACCUCGCUUCCUACUUCUUUUUUUACGGGGUACCUCGUUUCCUAGUGACCAGUGUCUUGGUUGAUCGUCCUAAGAAUGCUUAUAUAUGAAUAAAGCUCUCUCAUUUACCUGCAAAAGGGAUUGAGACAUAUUAACCAGAAAGGAGGGAGUAUGGACUAGCACUACUUUUUGGUGUGUCCCGUCAACUCGCGGAACGAGGAGAAGCUUGCAGGACAAGGUGAAGCUCUCUUACGCCUUUUGACUAAUGCAACCUACCCUCAGUCCAUUCGGUGUCAGAUUGUCAGAGGCAUACACUGUAGUACCCAACAUGAGGAGUACCAUCAUUGUUCAACUUCACGAAGAGGCAAAGAGCCAAGCGCAGUAGUACGAGUAGUACUACUACUAGAACCGCAUGGUGGAGCGUUUGUACUCGUAUUUCUUUUUAUCUCUGAUAAAGUACACGUUUAUUCCGGAGAAGGGCGGAAAACGGCAGCCCAACAUCAACUUGUAAUGAAUGAUAUCGAUCAACCAACCAUGCUCGAAUAUAUCUUGGCCUCCAUGCGAACCAGUUUGUGUGUUCUCGCUCCUCGUCUCUCUCAAGGAACGGCGGGUUGGCUCUUUGCCAUCAAUUGAGAUCGGUUUGCUCACACUCCUGUCCCACAUGUCAGUGACAUGCCAAGAGGAGGUGCGUUGACCGACUGGCCAUACGCGUACUUGGUUUUGAACCUUCAUACUACUCCUCCCUCCGUCACAGUUUACAGGGCGCGCUUCAUUAUGAUGCAUUUCUCUCAAUGCAUUUCCACCACCAGAGAGACUUUAGACGCGUUUGGUUUAAUGCUCAAUUAAUUAGGGCAUGGUAACCGCAAUCAAGUCCACAAUUUUCUCUCCAUGUAACUACGGAAUGGAGUAAGUGCAUGCAUGUGUGUACCUGGGGUGUUAGCACUGCAUGCAUGUGUGUACGCAUUAUUCUCUCUACUAGUAAUAGACGCCGUGCUAUAACUACCAAUGCUAUUUUUCAGGCCGAUCGCUAGUCGCCUUGGUCCCACAGAUCUUUUUUCUUUUUUCUGAAGCGCGUUGUAUAAACAGUGACAGAUGGAAUAGUAUGAGCUGAUUCAAAGAAGAGCGUAUUGAUGGUUGCUUCUUCAGAGCAACUUACAGUGCGAAAGGUGGGGCUUACGAUUUGACUGCUCAUUACUCACUAUUAAUGCGGCGGAACGACCGGGCUGAGUCUCCCAUGCGGUUGUGCCCUACCCCCUCGGUUCUUAAAUAUACUCCGGAGUAUGUUUGUCUUUCUAGAGAUUUCAACAAGUGACUACUCAAAUAUUUGUCUUUUUAGAGAUUUCAAAUGGUCUGGCACAUACAGAUGUAUAUACAUAUUUUAGAGUGUAGAUUCUCUCAUUUUGUUCCAUAUGUAGUCACUUGUUGAAAUCUCUAGAAAGACGAAUAUAAUAUUUAGGAACGGAGGGAGUACACAUAUGAAGCAAAAUGAGUGAAUCUACACUCUAAAAUAUGCCCGUUUGAAAUUUGUAAAAAGACAAAUAUUUAGGAAUGAAUGAGUAUAAUUUUGUGCAUGGCACAUGGACCCGGAUGAUGAAGAGGCUUCUGGCAAUGCUAUCAAGCUUCCAUCAUUUGUUUACAUAAUUGAGAUACUAUACAAAUAAUUUUCUAGCAAGACAUGAAAUUGUACAAUGGUGUGAGCUUUCAGCUUCUGUUUCGCGUGUCUUGCCAUUGAUGCUCUUUCGGAAACAAUAAAAAACUAACUUCCUUGCUAAUGCAUGUCAAUUAUUAGCACAUCAGAGCUAAUAAUUACAUCACAACUGAAGACAGAGUUGUGAGAAGGUGUUAAAUUAAAAUUUAUCCAUGCUUUCAUUGGCAGAAACGUCCCCCAGCUCUGUCUAAAUCAACAAGGCAUGUUGGGAAAAAAGUAGCUGUCUGGAGCAUGCAACAUUCCAAUCAUUUUGUGCAGUUCCACUAAAAUAGAGCUGAGCGUCCCUGUUCCAAAGAUAUUAAGUGUGAUUACGAUAAUAGAGGACUGCUGAUGAAACAAUAAACACAUAAAUAGAAGCCGGUCACCUUUGCAGUCUCUUUUAAGACUAACUAGUUGGAGAAGAUUAGGCUCGGAGUUGGAUGAGGAGGAUAGAGCAAAACCAAUCUCCCUUUGUGAAGUCGCACUGAAAUGUAGAGAUGUUGCCCAUGUGACAUUUUAGUAUAACUGCACAAAACACUCUUAAGAAAAAAGUGAUUUGUGCAGUUCACCAAAAGGUCACAAUAGCAACGAGGUGAAAUGGAUAGCCCUGUUUGCAAAAACGAGGUAGAAAGGAAACAAUUAUUGGCCAAUAAUAGUUGAUAACACAUGCGACGACAAAAAAGAAGCAUAUUCCUUGCCCUAAUGGAAGAUAACAACACGGUUGUGUUUGUCUAAAAUGGUGUGAGGACGAGAAUGCAAUAUGGAAAGUACGCUGGACGAGCUACGUUUUGGGCAAAGAACUAUAGAAGAUCCACAUGUAGCGACGUGGGAAGACGGCAGUGGAGCAAGGCCGGAGGGGAUACCUGGAGGUCGUCGGGAUGUAACUAGGUGAGCAGCGGCGGCCGGAAUCUGCGAGCACGUGGCGUAGGCCCUGCCGUGCCGGAGCUUGGUCAGAGAGAACGGCGUGUACCGCAGAUUGGGACGUGCUGCCUUGGUGCCGUUGAACGGAGAAACGAUGCACUUCCUCCCUUUCCCCCAGUGGACGGGAUGCGGCCGGAUCAGAACGGUGAGAAAGAGAGAGAGAGGCCACUGCACUCCCUUUCCCCCGGCGGAUGGGAUGCGACUGGAUCAGUGACCAACGAUGAGAGAGAGAGAGGCCACCGCAGCCUUGUGUGACAUACUCUGAAGAUCGACAAACCAGGCACGCAAGGCUCCAUUGUAUAUAGUGAGAGGACUACCUUUUUCUCCAUAAAAAUCAUUUUAUAUUCUGUGUACGUGCCAUUGAGCGCUAUAACUUUAUUUAAAAAUAACGCGGCAACGCGUCAAGUCGAACUUUGUUUCGUGCAUGCGUGGUACACGACCUCCCUAGGUAAACAACCGCUACAGGCGUUCAAAUUAGCACGUGGGCUACCAUUUCGUAAAUAAAUGAGCUCCACCGUGUACCCGCGCGGGUGUGGCUGGGCACGAAGCAUGAGUACGUGCACGGUGCACCUAUUCUCUUCUUGUAUACGUACACCACCUACGUGGGGUUGUGUGAGAGAGAUACAAACCUAGAGAGAUAUAGUGUGUGGGUUCUUGAGAGUUUUUUUUGAGGGGGGAGUUCAAUCAAAAAAUGUAACAUACACAAUGUGUGUGAAAUAGAGUCCUGGAUAUAACAUAUAUAUAGAGGGGGUGAUCCACGAGAAGAGAGUGGAGGUAUCACCGGCUUGAGGUGUCCAUAGAAUCGAAAAGAGGGAUGAUGUGUGUGUGUGUGCACACGCGAUCGAUAAAGAGUGCCAUCGAAUUUGUGUGUGCCCACGUCAAAGAUAUAGAGUGGCUGGCCUACUGGAACGUGAGAGGGGACAUGUGCAGUUUGUCUCUAUGGCAUGGAUACCUACCUGCAGCGCUCGACUAUCGGUGUGUGGUGGGGGAAGAGGGAGGCCCAAUUAACUAUAGAGGUACAAUGGCUGGUAUAUGUGUGUAGGAGGAGAGAGGCCUACCUCAUGUAUUAAGGAGAUCGAUCUGCCUCAUGUAUUAAGGGAGAUGGAUCGGCAUCCAUGCAUAUGUUGGAGGGGGUGGUAGUGGAGUUGCUUCUAACAAGUGGUGGGAUAGGCUUGCUAGACAAACGGAGGGCACGCCCGCAAUAUCAAUAAGAGAUGAGAUGUCUGCUUGUUGUCUGUGCACGUGCGUGUGAGAGACGGGUCAGGAGGCAUGCACGAAUGAUGAGGGGGGACGAUGUGGCUGUGGUAAGCAGACAUAACUACAUAGGAAGAUCAAUCGCCCUUUGUUAGAGAAAGGAGAGACAUAACUUGUGAAGUACGUCGAUCGAUGGGGGGGUAGUUAAAGUCGAUCCAGGUAUAUGUUGGGAGAUCGAUCGGUAUACAUGCAUGUGUGUGUUAGAAGCAAACGAGGCACGAGGAGAAGGAUAGAUAUAGAGGGAUGCAUGUAGGAGGUGGUACGAGAGGCAUACUAUAUCGAGCGGGGAGGAGUGUGCGAGUACGAGAACAAUGAAAAGAGUGGUGGGAGUGAGGCAUGGACGGUGACAAGAGAAGAGGGGAAGCUUGUGUUUGUGCUAGGCACACCUGGCUAGAGAGGCAUAUCGAUCGAUGUGUGCCGUAAAGAAGGAGCUAGGGGGCCUACACACACCAUGGGGUGAACGACCUAAAGUGAAAAGAUGAAUUUGCACGAUGGAGCUAGAGAAUGCUGAGGGAGGGUGAGAGGGACGCGGGCGUGUGCAUGCACAAGAGAAAGUUAGCGCUAGCUACAAAAAUAAGAGGGUUGUGUGGGUGUAAAAGACGAAUAGAGAUCAUAUAUACUUCAUUAUAAAAAGCGAAUUCGGAUAUUUGAAGAAUUUAUCAAAGUGUUUUAAACCGACGUAUGUGUGAAUAUAUAUAACGGUGAUACACAUGGUGUGUUUAUGAACAUGUUAUACUACAUUUAAUAUAUUUUAUCUCUACUCUUAUAAAAAACGGAGUUGUUGAUGAUGGUGUGCCUGCCAUCCUGCAUUAUAGGUCGUCCGAUUUAUAUCUAGCGGAUAGCAAGGAAACUAUGAUGGUUGAAGUUGGCAACAACCAUGAUCGUGGAUUCUUAUUGAAAUAGAGAAACAAAUUCAAAUUUAGUUCGAAUUGCAGCGGUAGUAUAGACAUUUGGAAUGCACUAAAUAGUUUGGUAUGAGUAGGUUACAUGCAUUAUAUAGCAAAGCGAAAAAAAUUAAUCGGACAUAACAUGGAUUCAUACUCCCUCCUUCCAUCUAUAUAGGGUGUAAUGAUAUUUUUAAGACCUCCUUUGACUAUUGACAAGAUUAAUAGUACAUGACAUGCACAAUGUGAAAAUUAUAUCAUUGAAAGAACCUUUCACAGAUGAAGUUAACGGUGUGCUUUGUGUAAGUUCCAUGUCAUAUAUCAUUGCUCUAAUAUUUGGUCAAAGUUAGCAUCGAAAAACGCAUUAGGCCCUAUAUAGAUGGAAGGAGGGAGUAGCUUUGAAUAGCAUUUGUAUAGCAAAACGGGGCAAGACUCUCUCUUUGUGUGGUGUGAAUAGUUUUAUUUUUUCGUUUUCUUUUUGGUUGAGGGAAGUGUGAGUUGAUUUGGUACGUACAAGUACAAUAUUACUACAUGUUAGGCUUGUCCCUAAAAUUCAACCCGCGUCUUGUUAUAUCCCGAAAAUUCAGAUAUCGUGCUCCCGAAACUGGCGCCUUCACAACCUGCGCCUUGCUAUCCCGAAAUUACAAUGCGCACGAAAACUCCCUCCAGCUGCCAAAUCCCGACACGCGAAAUCCCCCUUCUAACCCUGAGCCGAAAGGGCCGCUAGUUCAAAUCAGUGGGGGGGUACUUUUGUAGCACACCCUACAUUUUGGACAAGCGCGUCCCUAAGUAAUGCUUCACCCCCUCCCAUCGCCCGCUUUUCGCCAUUCGAAAUCCCAGGCCACCAUAACCUCUCCGCUCCAGCCAUGAAACCCCACCCUCCUCCGUCCGCCACGUCACCGCUGCCCAGCCGGAGCCUCUUCCCCGACGACGUCAUUCACCGCAACAGCUCGAUGUCCCUCGUGCACCUCCCCGAAUGAGGAUCCGUCGUCCAUCUCGCCGUCCCGCCGGAUCAGCCGCCCCGUCCUCCACCUCCAAGGAGCUGCCCCGACAAUCACCUCGUAUAUCGCAGCUACUUCAUCCCCGCAGCACCGCCUUAACCUGCUCCACCGGAACCGCAGCAUCCUCACCAACUCCUCGGACGAAGCUGAGGCCUACUCGGCGCCACCAAAGAGGUUGUACACUCAUCGCAUUGCACCUUCUCCUUAACUCGACCUCCCGGCGCCGACGGUGCUCCAUACCGCACCGCCAUGGAGCGGCUACCUUGAAGCCGGCGCCGCGGGCGACAUCUCCACGGCGGCUCUCCCCCAGUGCGAAGCCCCUUCGGCGACGGCGUCCAUACCAGCCGGAUCUGCUGCUGCUGCUCCGGCUCUCGCUCGCUCACUCGCGCUGCUGCUGCUGCUCCGGCUCUCGCUCGCUCGCUCGCGCUGCUGCUACUGCUCCGGCUCUCGCUCGGUCGCUCGCUCGCCCAGCUGCUGCUGCUGCUCUCCCCCUCUCUCGUGCUGCUGCUCUGCUCCGAUUAAGCCACACUUCAGUCGACUGAAUUGACUUUUGGGUCAGUCGAUUUUCAGGGGUUGGGGGGGAGGGCUCGCCGGAGUUAAGGAAGAACCACCCGCCGGAGAAGUACAGUCUGGUUCGGGGGGCCUGCCGGAGAGGUACCCCACUAUCUAUCUUAGGGUUCAUGGUGGAGGGGGGGCCUAGAGGGCUGGCCGGGGUGUCGGUGGCGAGUUGUUUCGGGGCGGCGAGGCGGCGCUUGAGCCGGCGGCGAGGCCGGUGGUGGCAGGCGGCUCAGGGGUGUGCAGGUUGAAGAUGAACUGCAGGCCCUCCCUAAACUACAUGUCAAGUGUCUCUCUGCUACCAUUGCAUUCAGUCUCGACAUUAGCAUUCAGAUUCCACAGUUAAUUUCAGUUUCGACAGUUAAGUUCAGAGUCAACAGUUUUUACCUCAUCUAUUGUAGUCAGGUGGUUUUUGGUGAUGUUAAUUUUACAUCCAUUUUUCAUCAUCUAUUGGAGAUGCUAUUAGAAUCCCACUUGAGAUUGACGAUGUCUGUCUUGUGUUGCUUCAGCAUUGACCUCUUACGGCUCACUGGAGCUGCUCCAACGACAGAACGAUCCAUCACAACAGAGCAGUGCCCUAGACGCCGUCUACAGAUUCCUCAGAUCUUCCUCCACACCUCCGACAGCCACCUCUGCCUCAACUGCUUCAGCGACCAACCCAAUGAUGCUGAGGUCGACACGGCUACGGCAAAGAGGUUGUACACUUGUUGUGUUAGUUAUUACUAUACAUUCACGUCGAUCCAUUAGGGUUAUUUUGGUUCAACGGAAAAACGUUGAUCCACUGGUUGUUACCAUCACUCUAAAUUUCUGCAUGCUCUCCUUACAUAAUCUCACCAUAUUUUUUUCGUAUGCAUGUCAGAUAUUCUACACAGUCAUGCUGAACAUGUAGAGAAAAAGAGAAGAGUUUUGCGCGGCAAUACAAUGUCAUGCAGACAUUGCUCCAUGGUGGGUUCAAUGGCAAACCCUCCCCACCCCUCUCCAGAUUGUAAUCCAGAGGAAGAUAUCUGUUCUGAGGCGUAUUCAGACACCGCUGACCACUCCUAUUUACCCGCCAAGGUGUUUGCUCUACCUUGGCAUGAUGAUGUUAGUCAUAUCAUGCAUAUGUUGCCUUGCAGUGCCUACUUUUGACAUCAUAUAUGUCAUCUGCUUAGUUUAGACAUGUUCUGUAAUGCCACCUAUUUAGUUUCUAUAUCAUAUAUGGGAAUUAUGCAGUCUCAUGUCUUUUAGCCAGCCAUAAUAUAUGUGAAAUGUGCAAUGCCAUCCUGUUUAACCAGGCAUCAUAUAUUUGAAUGAUAUCUUGCCCAUCCUUUUCUUCAUUACAUUUCCAUUUGUCGACAAUGUUUGUACAUUAAACUACUUUUCCUGUGAAUCGGCCAUUUGGGUGGGAGAUGGAAAAAUCUGGAGUGAAAACAAGGCCUUCAGAGCAGACAGUGCUACCUGUCGAAGCAGAUCUCUUGUUGGGUCCCGAUAGCUCCUCAGAGAUGGAUUUAGAGACAGAUGACCAGUCUUAUUCCCCCACUGAGGUGUAUGCUCUAACUUGGCAUGGUUAUACUACUGAUAUCAUGCAUACGGUGUCUUGCAUUGCAUAGUUUAGACAUCAUAUACACAAUAUUCAACACCAUGUUCUUAGUUCAGACAUCAUAUCGAAUGCCCUCUAUUUAGCAUAUAAAUCACAUAUGUGAAUUAAAUGAUGCGAUCCUGAUUACUUAGAUAACAUGUAGGUGAAUUAGGUCAUGCGAUCCUGUUUAGUUAUUCAUCAUAUCUUUGAAUUAUGUUAUGCUAUGCUAUCAAGUUUAGAUAGACAUCAUAUAUGUGAAAUUAUGUCAUGCUAUCCGUUUUAGUUAAACAAUAUCAUGUCAACUAUUUCAUGCCCUCUUUUUUCCACAGUAUCUAUUGCAUCCGUCUCAUACAAUGUCUGUACAUUCAACUAUGUUUCCUGUUUAUCAGCCAUUUGAAUUGGAGUGGGUGAUGCCAGUAUCUAGCGGAAUAAAAACACGGUCUUCAAUUAAAACAGUGCUACCUCUUGGUGGAGAUAGACCCUGGUUGUACAUGCACAAGAACCAGCCCUACCACACAUAACCCAAACUCUCGCAGAUUGUACCCCUACUGCGAUGGACAGAGAACCAGCUUCACCCAAUCUAACCCCAACCCCAGCCGAUAGUAACCCAGUUCCUGUUGACACAGCACCAUCUCCACCACAGAGCUCCCAAACAACAGCAGUUAGUAAGGCAGCUCCAGUGCCCAAAGGGCCAGUACUAUCACGGCGAACCCCAACUCCACCAGUUAGUACGCCUAUUCCUGUGGAGGAAGCACAACCAGCCAGUCGUAGUUUAGCAUCUAUCGCAUUUGAUGUUGUUAAAUCGUAUGUGCGUAUCUUCCCAUCUUGGAAAUAUUAUACUGAAGAUGAAGGAAAAUGCCAGUUGCAGGUGUUUGUCCAGGAGUUAUGUGUAAGUAAUGUUAUUCAUGGCAAUUACUUUGCUUCGUCCCAUAAAUCCUACCUCCAUGGUGGUUAUAAUACAACCAAUUUUCCCAUUUUUCUCUAUAGAGAAGGACCGAUUUUGAAACUCAGGAUGAGGUACCCUGUGCUAAUACCUCUGCUAUCUUCAAGAAUGCUUGGUGGCAGUAUCGGAAUUACCUGAAGAAAACGUACUUCACCGGCAAAGAAACUCAUCAAAUUCCCUUACAUUCUCCUGAGACACAUUUACUGGAGGAUGACUGGGAACGCCUUGUUCUGUACUGGUCCCGAACCAAGAAUGUGGUAAGGUCUAUGAGCUCAUUUUCUAUUUUAAGUAUUUUAUUCUUGCAUCUUACUGUACUCUGUUCAUGCAGAACAAGUGCCUAAACCUGAAGAACAACUGUUCUAAUUUAAGAUUCCAUUGCUAUCAUAGUUCGAAAAAGCGCUAGGCAUUAAUUGUGCGUUUUGCCACCGCCUUGCGCUUUACUGACCAAAGCGCAUGCUUAUGCGUAGUUAUGCACAGAUUAUGCAUAGUUAUGCGCAAUGCGUUUUGCCAACGCCUAGAGCCUAGGCGCGCUUAAGCGCUCGCUUAGGCGCGCCUUUUUUAACUAUGAUUGCAUUGCUCUUGUAUCACUGUAUUUACUGAUACGAACUUAUUUUUAAAUUGAAGGAUCCAAUCGAAACUCCAAUGGCACAACAGGUAUGUUCAUGCAUGUUUCUUUAACAGGUUUGCUCUUAUCAAUAGCUCUGUUGAUUUCAAUUUCAAUUGUGUAUAUAGUUGAGUUUCAAAUCAUGCACAUUACUAGCAUCACAACAGAGCCAAUAGUGUUGUUGUACAUGUAGACCCGUGGUACCCAUCUGAAAUCUUGUUGUGCCGUGUAGUUUCCCACGCUUUGUAUUCUUUCACUGCUGCUUUGUCUUGAACUGAUAUGAUUUGAACCGUGUCUCUAUUUUGAUUUGGCAAGACAAUGAAGUGACCAUAGGACAUAGAUAUAUGUUUUGAUGCUUUUAUUAUGUACUAGUACUUGGCAGUAGAAGACUUGGUAGUUUAAUCCUGUCCACCUUACUAAUGAACUGGUUCACCGAAAUGAGUUUCAUAUACUAGUACAUGCUAAACUUGUUAUGUGUCUGCUUGUUUCUUCUUUUAGAAUGCUGACAGAAUAUUGGGGAAGAGUGCCUUAUUAAGAAAUGGUAAAGGAAGUAAUGCAGAUAAGGUUCAGGAUAGUGACACAUCCUUGUUGGUCUCCAACAAAGCUGAUAAAACAGCUAAGGAAGACUAUCUUGAAGAUAGCGAGACAACCCCAAAGUCCUGUCUUGGUUUAGUGUUCGAGUUACUGGCCACUACCGCAUGCACAAGCUAUUCAAACUCACUGUCUGAAUCAGUUCAGUUUCUUGAGUCUCAACUACAAGCUGAAAGACAUCGAUCAGCUGUGCUGCGACAAGAAGCGAAAGGACUGCGGAAGUCCCUGGAGCAUUCAGAUGCAUACUUACUGGUGCAACAGCAAGCGUUGGAGGAUUUUAGCGCCAAACAGGACAAAGCUAAUCAGCUUGCUAAGCUUAUUGCCAGCAUGGUGGAUACCCAGGAAAACAUUUCUUGAGCUCUUCCGAAGUUGUUUCAGUUAUGCUCUUGUUUUGCUGCCGCAUUUAUUUGCACUGGUGGCCAAUUUUGACGGCCAAGUGUAUGUAAUAUGAUGCUUUGUUCCCUAUAUUUGCACUGCUGGCGAACUUUGAUGCCCAGUGGAUGUAAUAUGUGUAAUAGCGGUAAUAUGCUAGCCUUAAUUGCUUGCUUAUUUAUUUCCUUAUUUUCUUGUUUAGUUGUUUGCUUGUAGUCACUGCAGUUCUUUUUCUGUGUUUUUCUAGUGGCGACAAUAGCCUAUUUUUUGUAACUAGGCUAUAAGUGCAUCUAGUGCCCCUUAGUGAUUUUGGUGUAUCGAAGACUUAUAGGUUAAGGGACUAAUGUGUUUAUGAGUGUCCACAGGUCUAUAAGUCUAUGAGGAGUUUGAUAUUUACAGAGAAAGUCCACCCCUAAAAAUGAAGUUCUUCGACUGAAGACUUUGAUAUUCUGAAGACUCUCUGAAGACUUUGAAAGUGAAGAAAUUGGUGUGACCUUGAAGACUUGGUAUUCAAUUGAGGAACAUGAAGCGUGAAGACUUUUGUUUUUGUAGUUUCAUUUUCUCUUUCUUGAGUCAUAGGAAACACCGUACUGUUAAAGGAGGUCGAGGAAAUACUAAGGAAAAAUUUCCAUGUGAUGCUCAACUCAAAAUCCUACACCUACCAAUCCCUUCAAGUGAAGCCUUUGGAAAUCUCAUACAGUUCAGUCAAUUUCUUCAGUGACAGAGACGAAGUUCUUCUGGUUGCUAAGGAAUUUGUUCUGACUGAGGAGUUAGGAAUUCGCCAGUGCGGAUUGCCUACACAGUGAGGAACAUGAUAGCCCUGAGGAAUUUGAGAGUCAAAUUUCCGACCGUUGCUGUGCUGCGCGCCAGCUGUCCCAAAAUAUCUUAUCCACCUAACGGUCAUAUCAUUGAAGGGCAUUUAUGUCUUAUCAUGUUGGGCUGCUCCCUAGGCUAUAAAUAGCCGCCCCCUACAACCACUAGCUGGUUGGCUGCUUCGAGAGAACCUGACACUUGUCAUUUGAGAGCAACCCAUCCUCCGAGGACUUUGAGUGAAAAUCAUCGAGUGAGGAAAAACCCAAAAACCAAACCCCUACAAACCCAAAGUGAUUGAGCAUCACUAAAGAGAUUGAUCCUGCGUGGAUCCAACACUUGUUACCUUUGAAGAUUGUGCUUCUUCGAGACGGUUAGGCGUCAUGGUCUAGAGCAUCCAAGAGGAAUUGUGGAUCGCCGAGUGACCAAGUCUGUGAAGGUUUGGAAGUCGCCUGAAGACUUACCACGAGUGAUUGGAGGAGGUCUGUCUGACCUUAGUUCAAGGAGAAUACGGUGAGGACUUGGUGUCCUGAGCUGCGUUCUCAGCGACUGGGUGUCCGAGACUGUGUGUCCUCGAGUUUAAAUACUCAGCCGCUCCAACCAGAUGUACAACUGAGACAACAGUUGGAACUGGUCUACCAAAUCAUUGUCUUCACCAACCUUCCUGGUUCUAUUCCCUCAACUCUUUCAUUUCCUCAUUACUGUAUUGAGUGAUUGUUUGUAUCUGUGUUUGAAGACUUUGACUGAAGACUUUCUCAAUUUCCUCAGUUCAAUUUCUUCAGUCUACUUGUCUUCAUCUUGUGUUAUCCUGUGACUACACUUUCUGUACUCUGUGUUUGUCUUCAUUUCAUCAUGAUGACUAAGCCUGCAUUCUGUUAUGCUUACUUCUGAGUACUUAUUCUGCUGCAAGUAGUUCUUCGCUAAGGAAUUUCCUCACCGGCAAAUUCCUCAGUGAAGAAUUCUUAAAAAUCGCCUAUUCACCCCCCUCUAGUCGAUAUAACGUACUUUCAAUUGGUAUCAGAGCAAGGUACUCCCUUUUUCUGUGUGAUUUUGGUUUAACCACCUUGAGUUUUAGUUAUGUCGACCGCAGGUAUGAAGAAAGUGACAUGCCCUAUCUUUGACGGUCAUGAUUAUCCCAAGUGGAAGGCCAUGAUGAGGAAGCGCCUCAUGGCAAUGGACAGCGAGCUGUAGACCGUCACUGAAAUUGGUCUUACUGAUCUGUGCAAGUCGGCAAACGCAGAUGAUAUUCGCAAGUACACUCGACUUGACAUCAUGGCGAAGGACAUCAUCUGUUCCUGCCUAUCCAGAGAUGAAUUCAAGCGCAUUAUGCAUCUUUGCAAUGCGAAGCUUAUCUGAGACCGAAUCUCUGAUGUCUAUGAAGGUCAUCGAACCCGUCAUGAUCCUUGGUUUGAGGACUUCAAGGAAUCUCUCAAAACGAUGACUUUCGAACCAGAAUCAUCAUCUUCUGCAUCAUGUCUCAUGGCAAAGGGUGACAAGGUAACCGAAUGUUCCUCAUCCGAGUAUAGUGACGAUGAAUCUGAUGAUGAUGGAUCUGAUGAUGAUAUUGAACCGAGCUAUACCAAGCUUGUUUGUAUUGCCACCAAACAACAACAUGCCUUGGAAAAGGUUCAAAACAUGUUAGGUAAAAGUGAUGAUAUGUUAGGUGAAGAAAUGGAUCGCACUAAUGCCCUGACUGAAAAUCUUCAGAGACUUCAGUCUAGGUUUGACAGCCUUCAAGGUCAUCAUAACACUCUCUUGACUGAUCAUGAGAAACUUUCUUAUGAAUUUCUUCAAAGAAAGCAAGAUCUUGAGAAGCUAAGAGUGAGUUAUGAAGAUCUUCAGAAGGAGCGCGAUUCAUUACUUGCUCAACAAAUCAGAGCUUCUCAGGAAGAAUCUGUUCCUCCAUGCUUAAAGUGCAUUGAACGUGAAUCUGCUAAUUCUUCACCUGAAUGUUCAAAUGCUUCAACUGUUACAAAUUCUUCACCUGCUCCUGCUAUCACUAAUUCCUCAUCUGAGGACAUUGGUAGUAUCACUGACGAUGCAGGGCUGAAGGAAUUGUACAUGACAGGCAUGUACAAAAGCCUCAAAGGGCAUCAGACUCUUUGUGAUGUGCUUAAAAAGCAGAUCCUCAAAAGGAAUCCUAGGAAAGAGGGUAUUGCCUUUGAGAGGAAACUCAAUGCUGAUGGAACAUAUUGGAAGCCUGAGCAGUACCCCAAAACCUCAUGGGUUGCUGCAAAGGGACCUCCAGUUGAUCCAUCUAACUUAUCUGGCUUUACAUGUUUAUCUCCUCAUUCUUCUGAUGAGUCAUUUGACUCCAACUAUAAACUGUUCAAAAAUCAGAACGGUGAAGUAUUUGCUAGAUAUGUUGGCACUAACUGCAGGAACGGUUCCCCUAUGAAGAAAAUCUGGGUUCCCAAGAAGUGCGUUGAAAGUCUUCAGGUGAAUGUCCUCAUGACACCACCUGUGAAGAAUAGGAACCCCAGAUCAAACUCUUCAUAUGGACCAAAUUCUUCAUAUGGAUCCAAGUCCUCAUACGGACCAAAUUCCUCACGUGGAUGAAACUCCUCAAAAUAAUCAAAGUCCUCAUAUGAUUAUCAUCGUGCUAACAACUCUAUUUCGCAGGGUAGAGCUAAGGGCUAUGAAUAUGUGCAUUAUUCUUCAAACCAAUAUGUUCAUAAGUCCUCGAAGAAUUUCUCUGCUUAUUCAUAUGCUUACCCUAACCCCUCUUAUGUGAAACAAAAUGGAUUUGCCUCUAUGCCACCAUUCUCAUAUGGAUCUCGUAGAGUGAUGAACUCUUUGCCACCCCUUCAGAUGUGGGUGGUGAAGAAAAGGAACUAAUCUCUUCUGCAGGGUCAGGUCUCCAGACGUGCUUUAAUGUCUGAAGAAUUUGCUGGCCUGACAAAAAUGCCUGAAAGGACGCAGGCUAAUCAUGAAGAAAUGAACUUUCAUUUCACACGUCCUCAUACUGCUUAUCUGUUAUACUGCCUGAUGAAAUUCAUCUAAUGAAAUUGAUAUCAUAUUCUUCACUGAUGAAGUAUAUGAGAUCGUAAGUUGCACUAAUUCAUCUACAGGAUGAUCAACCCAAAGCCAAUGAGUGGGUUCUCGAUAGUGGAUGUACAAAUCACAUGACUGGUGACAAGAAUCUAUUGAUGGAUGCUCCCUUAUCACUGUCACAUCUGAAGCAUAUCAUCUUUGCUGACAAAGGCAAAAGUCAGGUAUUGGGUCUUGGUAAGAUUGCGAUCUCUAAGGACAUACACAUGGACAAAGUCAUGCUUGUUGAGUCCUUAGGAUACAACCUCAUGUCAGUCUCAAUGCUUUUGUUGUCUUUGGCAAGUAUCAUUGUGUUGUGAUCAUGGAAGCUGACAAUUCCAAAGUAUUCAAAGGCUUUAGGAGAGGAGACUUGUAUAUUGUUGAUUUCUCUAUAGGACCACAACCAGCCGUGUGUCUACUUGCAAAAGCUUCAGAAGGCUGGCUAUGGCAUCGACGACUUGGUCAUGCAGGCAUGAGGAAUUUGCACACGCUUGUGAAGAAGAAGCAUGUCAUUGGCAUUGAGAAUGUCAAAUUCCUCAAGGAUCACUUGUGUGGAGCCUAUGAAGCUGGAAAAAUGACCAAGGCCAAGCAUUCAGCGAAGACUAUCAUGACCACUACUCGACCAUUCGAAUUGCUUCACAUGGACCUCUUUGGUCCUAAUCAUUACUCAGCAGUCACUAAUGAUGCAUCUCUAUAUGGCUUUGUUAUUGUUGAUGAUUAUUCUCGUUACACAUGGGUACGCAUUGUUACUUACAAGCAUGAAGUGCAGGAAGUCUUCAAACGAUUUUCCUCGAGGGCUUCAACCAACUUUGGUGUGAAGAUCAAGCACAUCAGGAGUGACAAUGGAACUGAGUUCAAGAAUUCCGGUCUUGAUGACUAUCGUGAUGAACUUGGUAUUACUCAUGAGUUAUCUGCUCCUUAUACUCCUGAGCAAAAUGGCGUCAUGGAGCGCAAGAACAGAACUCUUGUUGAGAUGGCGUGCACUAUGCUUGAUGAAUACAAAACACCUCGUCAUUUUUGGAUUGAUGCAAUUGAUACCGCGUGCCACAUCAUCAACAAAGUAUAUCUUCACAAAUUCUUCAAAAACACUGCCUAUGAACUCCUCAGUGACAAGAAACCCAAUGUGAGUUAUUUCAAAGUCUUCAAUGCUAAAUGUUGGAUUAGAGAUCCUCAUCACAAUUCUAAAUUUGCACCGAAAGCACAUGAGGGUUUUAUGCUUGGUUACAAAAAGGACUCGCACACCUACAAAGUCUUCAACAAUGUUCUUUAUAAGAUUGUUGAAACUGUAGAUGUGCGGUUCGAUGAAACUAAUGGCUCGCAAAGAGAGCACCUGCCUUCUGUUAUAGAUGAACCAAUGCCUGAGGAGUCUAUCAAGUUCAAGGCGACUAAGGAUGUCAUUCCUACUGAAGAAUCUGCUGAAGAAUUCAUUCCAGAAUGCGAAGAACGUCGAGCUGAUGCUCCUGAGGAUAAUGCUGAAGAAAAUGGUGCUAAAGAAAAUGCCGAUCAAAUUCCUCGACGACAACCAGCUCAUCCUCGCGUUGCAAAAGAAGUGCAAGUUGACAAGAUCAUCGAUGACAUUGAAGCACCAGGUCCUCUCACAUGCUCAAAAGCUUCACAUUUAUCUAACUUUUGUGGGCACUAUGCUUUUGUCUCUAUCACAGAGCCCACUAAGGUAGAUGAAGCAUUUCUGGAGCCUGAGUGGAUUCAGGCAAUGCAAGAAGAAUUACAUCAAUUAGAGCUCAACAAUGUCUGGGAACUGGUCAAACGUCCAGAUCCUCGCCAGCAUAAUAUCAUUGGCACAAAGUGGAUCUACCGCAACAAGCAAGAUGAAAAUGGCCUUGUGGUGAGGAAUAAGGCACGACUUGUAGCUCAAGGCUACACACAGGUUGAAGGAAUUGAUUUCGAUGAAACUUUUGCACCUGUUGCUAGACUUGAGGCUAUUCGCAUAUUACUUGCUUAUGCUAACCAUCAUAAUAUCAUUUUAUAUCAAAUGGAUGUGAAAAGUGCAUUCCUCAAUGGUAAGCCUGAGGAAGAAUUAUAUGUUGCUCAACCCCUAGGUUUUGAAGAUCCAAAGAAUCCCGACAAAGUCUUCAUACUCAACAAGGCCCUCUAUGGCCUCAAACAGGCCCCACGGGUGUGGUAUGAUACAUUGAAGUAAUUCUUCAUGAAGAAUGGCUUCACACCCGGUUCACUCGACCCUACUCUCUUUACUAAAUCAUAUGAUGGUGAACUGUUUGUGUGCCAAAUAUAUGUUGAUGAUAUUAUUUUUGGCUGUACUGACCAACGUUAUAGUGAUGAAUUUGCCUAUAUGAUGAGUGAAGAAUAUCAAAUGUCUAUGAUGGGAGAAUUGAAAUUAUUCUUAGGUCUUCAAAUUCGUCAACAACACAAUGGCAUAUUCAUAUGUCAGGAGAAAUACCUCAAAGUUGUUCUGAAGAAAUUUGGCAUGCAAGAUUGCAAAGGCGUCAAAAUUCCUAUGCCCACAAAUGGCCAUCUAUGCACUGAUGAAAAUGGUAUUGACUUCGAUCACAAGGUAUACCGCUCCAUGAUUGGUUCUCUAUUGUACUUAUGUGCAUCUAGGCUAGAUAUAAUGCUUAGUGUUUGCAUGUCUGCCUGAUUUCAAGCUACACCGAAGGAAUCACACCAUAAGGCUGUGAAGCAUAUUCUUCGAUAUCUAGCUCACACACCAACACUAGGAUUAUGGUACCCCAAGGGCUCUACGUUUGAUCUCAUCGGAUAUUCUGACUCUGACUAUGUUGGUGAUCAUGUGGACCGCAAGUCAACAUCUGGUACUUGUCAUUUCCUCCGACGAUCUUUGGUCUGUUGGUCCUCGAAGAAACAGAACUGCGUAUCACUGUCUACUGCGGAAGCUGAUUACAUUGCUGCUGGCUCUUGUUGUGCUCAAUUGCUGUGGAUGAAGCAAACUCUCAAGGACUACGACAUCAACGUGAAGAAUGUGCCUCUCUACUGUGACAAUGAGGGUGCCAUCAAGAUUGCUCACAACCCAGUUCAGCACUCUAAGACAAAGCACAUUCAGAUUCGUCAUCAUUUUCUUCGUGAUCAUGUGUUGAAGGGCGACAUCUCCAUCGAGCAUGUGAAGACUGAAGAACAGCUGGCCGAUAUCUUCACAAAGACCUUGGAUGAGAAGAGAUUUAGCAAGUUGCGGUGUGAGCUAAAUAUCUUAGAAUCUUCGAAUGUUCUUUGAAAAGGACACACAUCCUGACACUUAUGCAAAAUUGAUGACUUAGAUGUGCAACAGUCUAAGUGUGAAGAAAUUAAUGAAGAAUUUGAUUCUCAGAACCCUACGACAAUUGUACGUGGUGUCUGAAAUCAUCAUUCUUAUACGGUGGGUCACGCCACCACCAAAGUUGAAAAUCUUCACUGUGUCCUUGUUAGCUGAAGAAAUUGCGAACGGAACUUUUAACUUAUCUUAUCCAAAUUUUCGGCUUUGCCUCUCAAACCAAUCCGCAUCCCAUGAUAAACUUAUCUAUUCACCCAUGAUCUAACACGAUCUCCACCUUUCAGUCGUGGGUGACACAUGUCAAGCGAAUGAGAAGGGCCAGGGGCACGUUUGUCCAAAAUCUUCGGGCGAACGGUUUUUCACAGUGGCUAUAUAUACCCCCUCUCCCCUUCCUCACUUCCUUUACUCCGCUCGACCGCUCACUCUCUCGCUCGAGCUUCUCAAACCCUAGCGCCGCCGCUACUCCAUCGUCGCCGGUGAGGAAGAGCUUCACUGCCUCGACCUCGUCACCGUCGUACUCGCGCCGACCGCGGAAAUCUUCACUCCGCCGCCGCCGUAGUUGUCUUCCUCCACCGAGUUAGGGCGUGGGAGAUCUGAACUGACGAACUUCUAAUCUACACUUAUCAGUUCGUCGUGUUCUUCAGUUCGGGUAAUUAAAAGUUACUUUUAUUACUCGCUUUGAUUCUCAAACCUUCCUGAAAAUCUUCAAAGGUGUUUAUUCUUCAAAUCUUCACAAAUAUGAACAUGUCAAACGAAAUAUGCUCUUGAUUCCUCUCUCUAAGCAAUGAUUUUUCUUCAAGAUUCCUCAAUUGUGUGGAUCCUCGAUCUAUACAACUCUGGAAUCUAAGACAAAGAUCGCUUAGUGAAAUUCUUCAAGGCUCAUCUGGUCAAAUUCCUCAAACUAGUUCUUUUUGAAAAACCUUCUGAGAACGCAUAUGACCUCUCCAAAUUCCUCGCAACUAUUCUCUGUUCACAGGUACUCAUGUCCGCUGCUGAAUCACUAGGUUCUCAUCAACUUAACUCAUUUGUAGCGUUCCUCGAAGAAAAGUUGCAUACUUCUUCAGAGAAUUCGAUUGUUCAAAUUCCUCAGCUGAAGAAUAUGGCAGAAGGAAAGAAGCCACAGAAAGGAGGAAAGAGGCCUGAGGUAAUGACUGCUUUCGAGAUACAUGAGGACAUAUACGCUGACUAUUGCACACCUGAUGAAUCCAAGUUUGGCAAGGAAAACAAAAAUCAGCGCAAGGUGCGCAUUCAUAGGAUUGAAAGGAGAUGGGCAAGGGAAUGGAGGGAGUAUAGAUAUGUUACUCCAAAGUACAUGAAGAAAUUCACACUGAAUCCUCCAUGCCCAAGAGAUCCAUUGGCACCUGGCCAAGAGCUGACCCCACCAGCUUCAAGCGUGGUGAGGACUUUCUUGAAGAAUGGGCCAAGCGCCAAGCCAAGUUGGCGAGACAAGCCAAAGAAGCAGUGAGGAAAUUCAAUGAAGACUCUUCUACUGCUGCUGCCACUGAGGCCCCUGUUCAGCCCAUAAGAUCAAUGGCAAAGAAGCCAGCGCACAAGCCAAGUGCUUCACCAACAGUGCCCUCACGGCCAAAAUCCUCAGCAAUGCCCUCACGGCCAGAAUCUUCAAUGCCCUCACAGCCAGUUCCUCAUGCUGCUUGUCGGUGUCAAAACCGGCGGAUCUUGGGUAGGGGGUCCCGAACUGUGCGUCUAGGCGGAUGGUAACAGGAGACGAGGGACACGAUGUUUUUACCCAGGUUUGGGCCCUCUUGAUGGAGGUAAAACCCUACAUCCUGCUUGAUUAAUAUUGAUGAUGUGGGUUACAAGAGUAGAUCUACCACGAGAUCAAGGAGGCUAAACCCUAGAAGCUAGCCUAUGGUAUGAUUGUUGUCUGUCCUAUGGACUAAAGCCAUCCGGUUUAUAUAGACACCGGAGAGGGCUAGGGUUACACAGAGUCGGUUACAAUGGUAGGAGAUCUACAUAUCCGUAUCGCCAAGCUUGCCUUCCACGCCAAGGAAAGUCCCAUCCAGACACGGGAUGAAGUCUUCAAUCUUGUAUCUUCAUAGUCUUGGAGUCCGGCCGAUGAUGGUAGUUCGGCUAUCCGGACACCCCCUAGUCCGGGACUCCCUCAGUAGCCCCUGAACCAGGCUUCAACGACGACGAGUCCGGCGCGCAUAUUGUCUUCGGUAUUGCAAGGCGGGUUCCUCCUCCGAAUAAUUUAUAGAAGAUUGUGAACACCAGGAUAGUGUCCAGCUCUGCAAAAAUAAAUUCCACAUACCACCGUAGAGAGAAUAAUAUUACACACGAUCAAUCUGCUGACGUAUUCUGUGGCGUAACAUCACACCACUUCCAAGCCUUUACUCGAAUUGUUUUUAUUGUUCCACCUCAGCGCGUUUAGCGAGGCAGUUUCCUUGGCACGUCUUGUCGAAGCAGAGAUCGUGUUCCCCUUAUUUCGGGAUUCCCAUUAAUAUGGACGUGGGUAACCCAACCGCGCCUGUUGCCACGCCCCCUCCAUUGAAGGCGGGUUCCAAACGGUCACGGGGACGGCUCUUGGUAUUCUUCCUCUUUAUAAAGAGACCAAGGCCCGUUCUUUUUAUUCAAUCCUCUACCGAAUCCGCCCCUCUCCCUGAGUUCCAACACCCAGGGAUCCGAAUUCAGGUACCUUCGAUCCUCGACAAUGUCCGGUCCUGAUCUACGAGGCCGGUGGAUGCCCUCCUCCGUCACGGAGGAGGACGUGCUAAAGCUGAGAGAUGCCAGGUAUUUAACCUACGAGAUUUUGCAUAGGCUGCCUGCCCGAGGGCAAGUUAUCCCAACUCCCGAGCCUGGUGAGAUCGUCGUGUUCACGUCACAAGGUAGUGAGACGUGAACACGACGAUCUCGCCAGGCUCGGGAGUUGGGAUAACUUGCCCUCGGGCAGGCAGCCUAUCAUGAAGGGAUCCGUCGGGAAGCAACUCGACCUGCAGAUGCGGACAUCUCGCUGGUCAAUAGAGGACUUGAUGAGUCACAAGUUAUGUGGUUGCCCCGCGGUUGGUUAGUAAGGGAGCUGACGCCCAUUCCUUACAAAUUGUAUGCUUAGAUGCAGAUGGUGCUGCUGCUGUGGAGGACCUUCGAGCAGAACUUGCUCGGGCCAAGGAGCAAGCCAGAAAGAGCGAGGCGGCUGCCUUGAAGGCAGCGGAAGGGUUAGAAGCCGAGAAGGCUGCUCACUGCCAAAGCAGGGAGGAGAUGGCUAGAAUGGCCAUGAAAUUAAGAGUUGCUACCGACCGCCUGGAAGUUCUUGAAGGAGAACGCCGAGCGGAGCGAGAGGACCUGAAGAAGGCCGAUGCCGAGGCCAAGGAUGCCCGUAGUGCGAUGCGGGCUAUGAAGGAGGAACUGCGUCAGGUCGGAGACAUUGUGGCUGGAAAGCCCUUUAUGCUGCGUAGGAAGUUCACGGAUCCGAAGUAUGCUCAGCUGGGCCGAUUGUACGGUGCGGAGGAUCCUUAUCUGGACUUGGCGGCGAGUGCGGCUGACGCAGUCGUGCACUUUCGAAGCCAGGAGGAUCAUGAAAUGGAAGAGCUUUUCUGGUCUCAAUUCCAUAGUCCGGAGCGUCCACUUCUGUUGAGUGAUCGGCUGGUUGAGUGGGCUGAGCUGAAUAGAUUGUCCGGACUGGCCAUGACGGAUGUGGUAACUCAUCUGUGGCCGAAAAGGCCCAAGCCGAAGAGUUAUUUUGGCUUGUUGCAGCAAUUCCUUGGGGCAGUGCCGCAUAUUAAGGCGGUGAAGCGGUCGGCAUGCAUAGAAGGUGCGCGGAUGGCUCUCGCCCGUGGUAAAACAUACUGGGCGGAGAUGGAUGCCACCGCUGUUGCAUCCCAGGGUUCGGACAAAUGCCGAUUCCCCACCGAGCAUUACUUUGAGAAAGUCCUGCAGGGCGCUCAUAUAAUAGAGUCGCAAUGCUCGAAAGAUGUUAUGUUUGAAUGACAUGUAUGAUUUCUAAGAUCAUGUUUAUAAUGCAAUGACUUUUUAUACUUGUGUGUUCAAGUAUUAAACUAUCUCCUGUGUGGCCGUAUAUGUAUGUUUCUGAAAGAUGGCAGUCUUUGGCUUCAGCCCCCACGCACAUGGUGCGGGGGUGUUUGCAAAAAGAAAAACGCUUUUUCACACUUAAUCCAACGUCUUGGUCCUUUUAAGGAGGUGAUAGCAUAGCAAACUAGGCAACCGGACUAUAAUGCUUUAUCCCUUUCACUUAGCCAUAGGAGCUCGAAUGUGGGGCUACUAUAUAGCCCCUGAUGGCACCGCGCUCCUCCGAACUUGGGGCGCGUAUGUGCCUGACCGGGAAGCGGUCCUUCGUCAAAGCGGAGGAAUUCUAAAUAUUCCAAUGGUCGAUCGAGUGGUUGACCAGUCUCUUGCUAUAUCAUGACAGUCAGUUUUCGGCUUUCUCUACUAAGGUGCUCUCCCGGCCGAACCGGGGCACAAUCGCAGUAGUUCUCCUGGUGCCGCGUUAGCCGAUGAUACGGAACGUAAGGCAGCAAAACACAGGAGCCGGGCAAACCCAACAUUUGACCAAAGACAUGAUUCGGAGCUGAUGCAUAUAAGGCCUAACUCGAGACGCCGAACACUCCCUGAGGUGUUCGGUCUUUAUGAUAUCGGGCAGAAUAAACGCCCUAAGCCCCUAGUGUCCAGGUACAGGCGGGAACUUCUGACGCGGCCGAUGCCAAAACGCCAGCCUCCUCCUCGGCUCUGGUAAGAAACCGGGGGAUGUUUAUCAACAAGAGACAGUGAGAAAGGUUUACGCAGGGUCUUAAUCUGAAAAGAAUCCUUGCAACGGGUCCCUACUGCACAUCCGCGCCUGUGUCUCCAUUGUGCUGUAUCCUGGACGGGUGUAGCACGUGCUUCAUCUGUAAAAGAGAAGGACUUAGUUUCUAAGAAAUAUCAUGCAAAAAGUGUAUCAAAAUAAAGUAUAAUUUGGAAGAUGAAGAAAGUUGAGCUUUAUUAGCUUUCAUCAUGUAUGCGCGCGGCCCCCUAAAAAAAGGGGUAUGCGGCUGGGAAGCCCCUUGUUAAGUUACGCCGGACUCGUCUAACCAUGUUCGAGGUCUAAAUGACCUGUUUUUAGGGGCUUUGACCUGCAAGGUCGGAAUAAUGUGUGGCUGUCUAGGCAGCCGCACAUUCUCCGUGGUUGAGAGACACCCGGAGUCUUAAGAAUAUGCCACGUGGACCGGGCAUUUUUAAGCGUAAGAGACGCGUAAUGUGGUAUUGCAUUAAAGCGGGCGAAAGCUGCAUGCCCCAGUAGUGCUUAAGGGCUACUGCUAAAUGGGGCGACGGAGGGUGAGCUUUUCGCGAUAGAGGUUGUCGGAUGAACCGAACAUGACCCCUAGUGGUACAGAGCCUGUAAAAUUGGCUAAAAAGGCCUGGCGUCACUCCUUUGAAGGAAGUGCUUGCUAUAGCAAAUUUUGGUGGGUUCUAUCCCCAGUCUGCGGAUGGUGUCCUGGUAUAGCAGGGGCCGCGCUGUGUGUUAUCACGUGAAGUGAGUUCACUGUUUUGACUUCUAAUGGGAAAGUCUUUUGGUUUCCGGAGCGCUGCUUUUGGGUUUCGUCACUUUCACUUGGUGUGUCGAGCCCUUUGUGUUUGGUGUUAAGUCGGCCGGACUGCUUGAAGACCCAACAAUCUCUGUGGGUAUGGUUUGCAGGCCUCCCGGAGGUACCGUGUAUUUGACACUGUCUAUCCAGAAUCUUGUUGAGGUUGAAUAGCUCGUCACUGUUAUCCUUUAAGGGCAGUGUUUUGUUGUUCGGCUGAGAGCUUUUGAAUCCGGCGUUGACCGCCGUACUAUUUGGGCCAUUCUCCUUGUUCCGGUGCUAAUCUUUUUUGCGUCGUGAUUUCCCAUUUCCAUCCCUGAGUUCGGAUGUACUGGGUCGCUGGUGCUGCAUCUAGCCAACCAGCUGUCUUCCCCUGCGCAAAAGCGGGUCAUGAGACUUGUUAGUGCGGCCAUUGUUCUUGGUUUUUCCUGGCCGAGGUGUCUGGCGAGCCAUUCGUCUCGGAUGUUGUGUUUGAAGGCUGCUAAGGCUUCAGCGUCCGGACAGUCGACUAUUUGGUUCUUUUUAGUGAGGAACCUGUUCCAGAAUUUGCGUGCUGAUUCUCCGGGCUGUUGAGUUAUGUGACUUAAAUCAUCUGCAUCCGGAGGCCGGACAUAAGUCCCCUGAAAAUUUGCUCACAACGCAUCCUCAAGCUCUUCCCAACUCCCAAUCGUAUUUUCUGGGAGGCUUUUAAGCCAAUGUCGGGCCGGCCCUUUGAGCUUGAGGGGAAGGUAUUUUAUGGCAUGGAGAUCGUCUCCUCUUGCCAUGUGUAUGUGUAGGAUAUAAUCCUCAAUCCAGACUCCGGGGUCUGUUGUUCCGUCGUAUGCCUCUAUGUUUAUGGGUUUAAAUCCCGCUGGAAAUCCAUGAUCCAGUACCUCGUCGGUAAAACAUAGUGGGUGUGCGGUGCCCCUGUAUUUGGGUGUGCCGUUGUCUUCAAAUGCUCGGCUGGUUGUGUUACUUCCUGGAGUCUUCUUUUUUGGCCAAUAGAUAGACCGGGCCGGGUUAUCCUUUUUCUGAAGAUCUUUAUGCUGAUCAUAUGCCGGCUUGUGUGUGGCGCCCCGUGUUGCUCUUGGCCUGUCAUCUGGUCGUCUAUCCGGCCAGACGGCCCCUUUCUUUUUUGACUGCGGGGGCUCGAAGGCCUCCUCGUCAAAUUCGGGCAACAGCUUGCGCUUCGGGUAGCUCUUUGUCUGGUGGUUAGUGCCAUAUUUAUCUGCGGUGUUGAGUACUUUGCUCCAUCUCAUUCUGAGUGUGUCUUCUGCUGUUUUGAGCUUCUGCUUUUGCUUCUUCAAACUUCUUGCAGUGGCGACAAGCCUGUUAUGGAGAUUCAUAUGCUCUGGUGAUGUGAGAUCAUCUUCGCCAGGGAUGGGUUGCUUGUCCGGUUCAUGUUCGGCUGGCUGCUUGUUGACAUGUGCGUCGUCCACUGCUUCGCCCUGCUCUAGGGCCGGGUCCAUAUGGGUACCGUUUUUGUCGAUGCCAGUCUUCGGGCGGCACUUGCGUCGCCGCUUUGUUUGUCUGUUGGGGGAGUUGUCCUUCGCCACGUCCCGUUUUUCCUCAUUGCCGCUUCCUUUUGGUUUGUCCACCAUGCAUACGUUGUGGGAUGGGGUGGCUUUCCUGUGCCCGUUAGGCGCUGGUUCUUGGUCGACCCCGGCAUCGUCGUCCAUACCGUCGAUGUCUUCGGAGUCAUAGCCUAGCAUGUCAGUUAAAUCGUCGACAGCGGCUACCAAGUGGGUGGUGGGUGGGCUUUGAAUUUCUUCGUCGUCCGCAUCCCAGCCGUCCUGACCACAAUUUGGCCAGGUCUCUCCUGAUAACGAGAGGUAUUUUAGCGAACUCAAGAUGUCGCCAAAAGGUGAGUGUUGAGGGACGUCCGCUGCGGUGAACUCCAUGAUCGGCGCCCAGUCGGAUUCGAUCGGGGUGGGCGCGGGAGGUCCGGAGUCCGGCGAGGAGUCCGGCACCUUGGAGUCACGAGCUUUAUGAGGGACGAAGUCAGUGUUCGGCUCUAUCGCCGUAGAGGUUGCAGCCCCCGAGGCGGUGUCUAGGCAUCCAUCCUCGAUCUGCGGAGCUGGCUCCGAAUUGAAGAUCGGAGUGGUUUUGAGUGCCGCCACCAGGGUACUGUCCGGCUGUAGAGCUAAAUCAUGCCCAUCGUGAUAGUACAGCACGCUCGGGUGUGGCUCGAAUCCGUCGAGGAUCAAAUCCCCGCGGAUGUCAGCCGUGAAGUUCAAACUUCCAAAUCUGACCUGACGGCCAGGGGCGUAGCCUUCGAUCUGCUCCAGCUGGCCAAGCGAAUUGGCCCGCAGUGCAAAGCCGCCGAAUACGAAGAUCUGUCCGGGGAGGGAGGUCUCACCCUGGACUGCAUCGUCGUUGAUGAUCAAAGAAGCCAUCGAGCCUAUCGGUGACGACACAGAGGAACUCUCAAUGAAAGCACCAAUGUUGGUGUCAAAACUGGCGGAUCUCGGGUAGGGGGUCCCGAACUGUGCGUCUAGGCGAAUGGUAACAGGAGAUGAGGGACACGAUGUUUUUACCCAGGUUCGGGCCCUCUUGAUGGAGGUAAAACCCUACGUCCUGCUUGAUUAAUAUUGAUGAUGUGGGUUACAAGAGUAGAUCUACCACGAGAUCAAGGAGGCUAAACCCUAGAAGCUAGCCUAUGGUAUGAUUGUUGUCUGUCCUUCGGACUAAAGCCAUCCGGUUUAUAUAGACACCGGAGAGGGCUAGGGUUACAUAGAGUCGGUUACAAUGGUAGGAGAUCUACAUAUCCGUAUCGCCAAGCUUGCCUUCCACGCCAAGGAAAGUCCCAUCCGGACAUGGGACGAAGUCUUCAAUCUUGUAUCUUCAUAGUCUUGGAGUCCGGCCGAUGAUGGUAGUUAGGCUAUCCGGACACCCCCUAGUCCGAGACUCCCUCACUGCUCCUGGUCCUCCCAAAUCCUCAUCUCCUACGAAGUCCUCAGCAGCUCCUCCAAAUUCCUCAGCACCUGUGCAUCUGGCCACGUGCCAAAGGACUGCAGGCAUCUCUAUUGCCUCCGGUGUCUCAGCAAGUUGCUCAGCUGCACCAAAUUCUUCAUCAGGCCCCACUCUACUUAAGAAAAAGGCAACUGCUGGAUGAGGUCCUUGGCCAAGUCCGAAGAAGAAACAGGUCGCCUUCCAACUGCCAUCUGAUGAUGAAGCUGAUGAUGACGAACUUGCGGAAAUCAUCAAAGACCGACAAGAAAGGGCCGCUAGAGCCAAAGGCACACCUGUGCCACUGCUUUUGGAUCCAAGGGCGAUCCUCGAGUACAUUGAUCUCUGGCACAAGGAUCCAGAGACACCUAUACCUGAUUUUCAUCUGACACCUGGACAAAGUCACAUGCUGACCCAUUUCAUCUCUGAAGAGAAAUGGAAAUAUGAGAAGGCCAGACAGAUCAAGAAAGCACAGUACAGGAAGGAGAAAUUCCUGAAGAACAACGUUGUCUCUAUGACAACUGAUGAACUUGUGAAGAUCCAGUCUGAAAUCAAAGCCCUAAGUGAUAACUUCAAUGCCUAUUAUGCCGAUUGGCAAGGAGCCAAAAUUCAGAUUUGUCAAUCUGACAAAGAAGUUCACAAAUGUUGCAGCCCCAACACAACAAGAAAUUCCUCAGGCUAGAGCCUCUGCUCAGGCUGCUGAAGAACAUGCCAGCACCGCUGAUGAUUUUCAGCCUGCUGAUGACAAUGCUACUUCUAGGGCUGAUGACUCCAGUCCAGCCGCUGAAGAAAUUGCCAGGGCAUCCACUAGUGGUGCGCCUGAAGAAACUGAAGAAGUCAGGGAAACUGCAUCAGUUGCGCCGGAGGAAAUUCAACCAGAUUCCUCAGCUCCUCCCGCGCCUACACCAACUCCAAUCCUUCCAUCUGCAUCUGAUGUGAAGAAGACCAAGGCUGCAGAGCGAGCUGCAGUGAAGAAAAUGAAAGCAUCAGUUGCUUCAAAUUCUUCAGCCCCGAAGAAAAUGAAGCCUAUGACAAGCUCUUUUGAAAAUCCAAUCGAUGCUGUUCCAAUUUCCUCCAUUCCAUCAAAGGACCUUGUUCCUUUUGGUGAAGAGUAUGAGAUCCCAAGCGGAUGUGAUGAAGAAAAUCAUUCUGCUGCUUCAUCAGAGCAGAUUGAUGAAGAAAUUGAAGUGGAUGCAAUCCCUUCAACACCAAUCAUUUCCUCGCCUAUGCCUCAGUUCACAGCUGAAGAGGCUGGUGUUGAGGAAAUUGAAGACGAAGACGUGGAUAUUGGAUGCACCACACCUGUGAUGAACGAUGACCUUUGGGAAAGUCAGCAUCCCAAUUCUCCACUCUUCACCCCAAUCCAACAAAUCCCUCAAUCCCCUGCACCAACGGUUCAAAUGGGCUCUGAAGAAACUCAUCCCAACUCAUCCGUGCAUGAAGAAAUUCCAGCCACUAGCGCUGAAGAACCUGCUGCUGCUGAUCCUAUGAACAUGCAGACUGCAUAUGAAGAGGAACCAGAAAAUCCUCAGCCUGAAGAACCUGAGAUUGCGAUUCCAGAGGUAGUGAUGCAACUCAAUGAGACUCCACUGCCAAAGCCAAAGAAUCCAUUCUCAACGAAGCAAAAGUUCAAGGCUGAAGAUUUCUUUGGCGAGCAUGCAUUCUUCACUGACUACAAUCCUUAUGACUGUGCUCGCAUAAGGAAGAGGCGUUUCUGGACUGCUAGUUAAGCCAACUUCUAUUCCUCUGUGCUAUUCAACAAAGACAAAGUCUUCGAUCAUGCACAUAUUCCUCAUGUGGACAUGGAAUCUCUGCCAGGCUUCGAGCAGUCCUCAGUGUUCUUCACGAUGCAGGAUUGCUGAAUUUCCGUACUCACAUCUGUGAUUGGAAUGAAGAACUCAUUCUUCAAUUCUAUGCGACGCUGCACAUCACCGGAGAUUCUAAAGAUGUGAACUCAUGGGUAUUGGACUGGAUGAUAGAAAAUACUCACUACAAGGCACCAGCAACUGAAUUGCUUCGUGCCCUCCCACUCAGUCCUCCCCUUGAUGGUGCUCGUUGCAUCUACAACGAACCGGAGCUUUCAAAUCAUUACAUGCAAGUGCUGAUGAAGCCUUUGAAGCCAGGGCAGGCACCUCGAACCAAAUUCUUUGUCAAGGAAUUACUGUAUGUGCCUCGGACUAUCUAUCGCAUUCUGACGAAGACAAUGAGUCCUAUCAAAGGUCACAACUCAAAUGAUGAAGAAGUCAUUGGCAUCAUGAAGAAUAUGCUUUUCAAUAUCAUUCAUGGCGUUCCCGUCAACUUCCAUGAUUUCUUCAUGAGUACUCUGGCAAACAUUGCUAUGUCACCUUUUGAGAUGAAGCCUUAUGCACCAUGGAUUAUGAGGUUCAUCAGGACAAGGUCUUCACUCAAUUACAAGGCUGACACUCUGAACAACUACAGCUACUUGCCUCCAAUUGAAGUCCUCAAAUGGACAUUUUCCUCAGCUGAUGACAAGGGCAAGGCAACUACUGUGAUAGAUGAAGGCAUUCGUCCAUUGGAUGGUCAAUUUCGCAAAGCUGCAUCCUACUCCACCAAUGAUGACUCUGCCACACAUGACUCUGCCGCCAAUACCUCAGCCAAGCAAAAUCCUCAAGCCACAGCACCCAGGGUGAUGACUGAUAGUUAGUUACUCCUCAGUCUUCAUCAGAAGGUUGAUGGCAAUCAUAAAUGGGUCAAGCGUCAGUUUGGUUCAAUUCUUCACAACAUGACCUCAACACACAAUGCAGUGAAGAAAAACCAAUACUACCUCCAUGAAACCUUCAACCGCACCUGGGAUGUUCUUUCUAAUGUGUACAGCGCAGAAGAACUGAAGAAAAUGGGUCUCAAGGAAGAAUUAGACUAGUCUGUACCUCCACUGAAGAAAUUCAACAAGGUCAAGGUUCCUUCCUUGGUAGCCAGCUCCUAUUCUUCAUCGCGCAACACUGAUGAAAAUGAAGACUUGGACGACACUGCGGGAGGCCCUACUACGACAACCGACCCCGACAACGCUGGCGCUCCUUCAUCAACUUGAAAUUCUUGAGGGGCGUUAGUCCUUAGUUUCAAUCCUUUUGGUCAUUUGAUGACAAAGGGGGAGAAAUGUGAGUUAGUCUUCAAGCGGGUCUACUCUACAAUAUGGGCGUUUUUUUUCUAAGUUACAACUCUCGUUCUUCUAAAACAUUAUUCCUCUGCAUGCUUAUUCCUCAUUAUAUGUUAAUACACGCAUGCUGAACUACAUCAGUCACCAUAUUUCAUCAUGCAUUUCAAAUUCUUCAUAUUAUAUGUCAAAUGCGUGUAUGAAUUACAAGAUAUAGGGGGAGAUCUCCAUGAUUCAACUCUUCAAAUGUGCAAUGCCUCAAAAGCAAAAUUCCUCACUAUGCACAUCUUCAGGGGGAGUUCUUCUAUAUCUUGCAAUCAAAUUCCGCAAUAUCAGUAUUUACACUUCAUAUGUUUAUCCCCGUUGAAAACUUAACCUAUAUUGUCAUCAAUCACCAAAAAGGGGGAGAUUGUAAGUGCAUCUAGUGCCCCUUAGUGAUUUUGGUGUAUCGAAGACUUAUAGGUUAAGGGACUAAUGUGUUUAUGAGUGUCCACAGGUCUAUAAGUCUAUGAGGAGUUUGAUAUUUACAGAGAAAGUCGACCCCUAAAAAUGAAGUUCUUUGACUGAAGACUUUGAUAUUUUGAAGACUUUCUGAAGACUUUGAAAGUGAAGAAAUUGGUGUGACCUUGAAGACUUGGUAUUCAUUUGAGGAACAUGAAGCAUGAAGACUUUUGUUUUUGUAGUUUCGUUUUCUCUUUCUUGAGUCAUAGGAAACACCGUACUGUUAAAGGAGGUCAAGGAAAUACUAAGGAAAAAUUUCCAUGUGAUGCUCAACUCAAAAUCCUACACCUACCAAUCCCUUCAAGUGAAGCCUUUGGAAAUCUCAUACAGUUCAGUCAAUUUCUUCAGUGAUAGAGAUGAAGUUCUUCUAGUCUCUAAGGAAUUUGUUCUGACUGAGGAGUUAGGAAUUCACCAGUGCGGAUUGCCUACACAGUGAGGAACAUGAUAGCCCUGAGGAAUUUGAGAGUCAAAUUUCCGACCGUUGCUGUGCUGCGCGCCAGCUGUCCCAAAAUAUCUUAUCCACCUAACGGUCAUAUCAUUGAAGGGCAUUUAUGUCUUAUCAUGUUGGGCUGCUCCCUAGGCUAUAAAUAGCCGCCCCCUACAACCACUAGCUGGUUGGCUGCUUCGAGAGAACCUGCCACUUGUCAUUUGAGAGCAACCCAUCCUCCGAGGACUUUGAGUGAAAAUCAUCGAGUGAGGAAAAACCCAAAAACCAAACCCCUACAAACCCAAAGUGAUUGAGCAUCACUAAAGAGAUUGAUCCUGCGUGGAUCCGACACUUGUUACCUUUGAAGACUGUGCUUCUUCCAGACGGUUAGGCGUCAUGGUCUAGAGCAUCCAAGAGGAAUUGUGGAUCGCCGAGUGAACAAGUCUGUGAAGGUUUGGAAGUCGCCUGAAGACUUACCACGAGUGAUUGGAGGAGGUCUGUGUGACCUUAAUUCAAGGAGAAUACGGUGAGGACUUGGUGUCCUGAGCUGCAUUCUCAGCGACUGGGUGUCCGGGACUGUGUGUCCUCGAGUUUAAAUACUCAACCGCUCCAACCAGAUGUACAACUGAGACAACAGUUGGAACUGGUCUACCAAAUCAUUGUCUUCACCAACCUUCCUGGUUCUAUUCCCUCAACUCUUUCAUUUCCUCAUUACUGUAUUGAGUGAUUGUUCGUAUCUGUGUUUGAAGACUUUGACUGAAGACUUUCUCAAUUUCCUCAGUUCAAUUUCUUCAGUCUACUUGUCUUCAUCUUGUGUUAUCCUGUGACUACGCUUUCCGUACUCUGUGUUUGUCUUCAUUUCAUCAUGAUGACUAAGCCUGCAUUCCGUUAUGCUUACUUCUGAGUACUUAUUCCGCUGCAAGUAGUUCUUUGCUAAGGAAUUUCCUCACCGGCAAAUUCCUCUGUGAAGAAUUCUUAAAAAUCGCCUAUUCACGCCCCUCUAAUCGAUAUAACGCACUUUCAUAGGCGAAAAUAAUCAUGGCAACACACAGACUGUUGUAACCAUGGGCCUCCUGCAGGCCGUAUGAUCCAUGGGCCUUCAUUCGGCCGUAGGACCAUUGGCCUUCUAUACAGGCCGUAGGAUCCAUAGGCCUUCUAUACGGGCCUUAGGGAUCAAUGGGCCUUCUACGGGUCGUAGGGUCCAUGGGCCUUCUACGGGCCGUACCAUCCAUGGGCCUCAUACGGGCCGUAGGAUCCAUGGGCCUUCUACGGGGCGUAUCAUCAUUUCACCAUUCAUGGGCCGUACUAUUCUUGGACCAUAACGAGCCGUUAAUAGGCCGUAUUUGAUAACUCUAUGAAAACAGCCCAACGGGUUUUUUUGACAUGAAAACGGCCCAACGUAUUAAUGGUCCGCAAACGGGCCGACUAUAACGACGGGCUGAAUUUGGCCCACAAGCAGAAAAUGACAGUAACGGGCCGUUUGUAACCGAAUGCUGCAAAUGAGCCCAAGAAUCAAUGGGCCCUGAGAAGGCCGAAAGAUAACUUGGGCUGGAAACGGCCCAAUGGAAUAACGGGCCGUUAAUGGGUAUAAAGUGAUACACUGUUCAUUACGGGCCAGUUUCACAACGGGCCAUUAAUGGGCAAAGAGUUACAAAGGUCCUCAUAUGGUCCGAAAGAAGUCAUGGGCCAGACAUGGGCCGGAAGUUAAAACGGGUGAAUCAUAUUGGACGGCCCAGAUGAUGCUACUGGGCCUAAUUCAGAUAGGGUGUAACGGGCCCGCGGUUAGCGGGCUGUAAAUGGGCUAUAUGCGAACAGGCCGUUAACAGGCUUUCCGUGGGCCGUCCCGCCACCUUUUGACCAAGUCAAACGGGCCGGCCUUUUCACACGAAUGGGCCUCUGUUGGGCCGUGCCACGUGUCGACAUAUCAUAGGCGCCUUCUGUCCAAUGAGUGGAUGAUAUCUGUCCCAACGGUGAGCCGACACGUGUUUCCUCCAGCCAAUGAUGAUUUUACACGUGGAAAAUCCCAAUUGGUCGGGGCUGUUAAUGGGUUAUCGGAUCCAAAACCCGACCCGAUAGCUUAACGGCGUUCCGUUACGGUGGAUGCCACGUGUUGGUCACCCUUGACGAAAGCAGUUCUGUGACGCGCGAUUUAUCGUCAUGGAAGUGGACACUUCCGUGAUGAUAAUUUUGGUAAUGUCAUGGAAAACUUCUACGACAGCACAGGUAUGACUAUCUUGAUUCUAUCAUAAAUUUGUCAUGGAUGUACAUGCAUGACAAAAAACGCAAACUACUGUGACAAACACGUAUCAUCACGGAAGUGUAUUUUUUUUGUAGUGUCACCACCUGAACUUUGCCCUCUGGCCGACCUAAGUCCAAAGUUCAUGUCUAGUUUGAUGUUCGUGGUAGUUUUGAAGGUUACCACGCUUGGGUUUGGUCUCAGGUGUAGUACAAAUGAUUUCACGUGCCAGGUAAGUUUCUAGACAGUAACUUUGAGAGCUUACUGUGGCCAAACUACUGGGAGUUGGGGGUUGGGCUUUGGAGGCUAGCAAUCAUCUACUAAGGUGAUGAUGCACAAGAAAAACCAACCACAAUUGAGCAAAUAAAAUGGUAGUUUAUGUAGAAACUACCAUUUCUGUCCAGAACAGAAAAUAUUUUCUGUAGCAAAAAUAUUCCAAAAAGUGAUGAAAUAUUUUUGCUCAGAAAGGUGCCCUAGGGUUCAAAGAAUAAUUAGGAUUUUUCUCUGAUUUUUAUGGGCAAGAAAAAUUGGGGUUGCUUUGGAGCACAUUGCUCUAGCUAGGGUUUAAGAGAUGGAAAUGAAUAUUUUUCAUUAAGAAAAAUAUUCCAAAUAUUAUUUUGGUGUGAACCAAAGAGGGAAUGAUGGUUAGAGAGGGAAAUGGGGCACUUGGGUGGAAGCCAAGGGGUACCCAAGUGGUUAAGUCCAUAUGAAAAGAUUCAAAACUCCAAGUUUCAAAUUCGAAACAACUGAAAAUCAGGCAAAGAAGAGAGGGUAAAAACUAGGCUGUCACAAACCUCCCCCACUUAGAAUGAAUCUCGUCCUCGAGAUUCGGUUGCUUGGGAAAACCAUUCUGGGUAAUGUGCCUUUAGAAAUUCUUCCCGUUCCCAAGUUGAUUCUAACUUCGUAUGAUGCUCCCACUGGACUUUGUACAAUUUCCUUGCUUUACUACGAGUGACCCUUUCCAUCUGAUCCAAGAUUCUAACCGUCCUCUCUUCGUAUGUUAAAUCCUUUGCCAGCUCUAUUUCAGUCAUAUCAGUCUUUUUCUCAGGCGGCGAUAUGCAUCGCCUCAAUUGUGAAACAUGAAACACGUUGUGCAUGUCCGACAAUUCAGGGGGUAGUUCCAACUGAUAUGCAACAGUACCCACUCAUGAUGGGAAAUGGACCAAUAAAUCUAGGUGCCAGCUUUACAUGAGUCUGGAAUCUCUUGAUUCCUUUCAUAGGCAUGACUCGGAGGUAUACGUGUUCUCCGGGUUUAAAACUGAUCUAUCGGUGAUUUGCAUCAUAAUAACUCUUCUGUCGAGAUUUGGCCAACUGCAAUCUGUCUCUGAUUUCCAUGACUUGUUUCUCAGCUUCCAUCAUGAGAUCCGUUCCGAAAAUACGGCUAUCCGGUUUGAGACCAAUUUAAAGGGGUGCGGCACUUACGGCCAUACAAAGCCUCAUAUGGUGACAUCUUUAGACUAGUCUGGAAGCUAUUAUUGUAAGAGAACUCAGCAUACGGCAAGCAGCCUUCCCAUUUAGGUCCUUGGGCCAAAGCACAGGCUCACAACAUGUCUUCGAGUAUUUGGUUUACCCGCCCCGUUUGUCCAUCAGUCUGAGGAUGAUAAGCGGUACUGUAUUUCAGCGCUGUCCCCAAGGCUUGAUGGAGAAGGGAACAAAAAGCGGAUGUAAAAAGUAAACCUCGGUUAGAAGUGAUGGUUUGGGGUACUCCAUGCAGGCUGACUAUUCUGGAUACAUAGAGCUGUGCAAGUUGAUCUUCUUGGUACGUAGUUCUGAUUGGGAUAAAGUGGGCAACCUUGGUUAAGGUGUCCACUAUGACCCAAAUUGCAUAAUUGCCUCGCUGAGUCUUCGGCAGCCCUCCAUGCAGACAUCAUCCCAUUUCCAUUGUGACACUGGCAGCGGUUGGAGAAGUCCGGCUGGCUUCUGAUGCUCUGCCUUCACCUUGUUGCAUAUGUCACAACAGGCCACAAAAUAGGAAUUGUCUUUCUUCAUUCCAUCCCACCAGAAUAUUUGUCGAAGGUCUUCAUACAUUUUCGUAUCUCUAGGGUGAAUAGAAUAGGAGGAUUCAUGUGCUUCUGACAGGAUUUUUUGCUUCAAAUCUGCUUGAUUGGGUACACAAAUCCUUCCAUGGAGUUGGAGGGUACCGAAUUGUUCCUUCAAGAAAUCUGAAAUCUGUCCCGCUACCAUAUUCUUGGCACGUUUUUGCAGGACGGUGUCAGCUGGCUGGACCUUGCGGAUGUCUUCCUCAAGUGUGGGGAAACUUCCAAAAUAUUAGCAAGGCCAGCAUCCACUAUGACCAGGUUGAGCUGAGCAAUCUCCUCUUGAAGUUCAGGAGGCAAGGAUUCCAAUAUGACAUUUAGGCUGACAGGCUUUCCACUGAGUGCAUCGGCAACCACGUUGGCCUUACCCGGGUGAUAAUUUAUUCGAAGGUCAUAAUCCUUGGCUAACUCUAUCCAUCUUCGUUGACAGAGAUUUAAAUCUGGCUGAGUAAAUAUGUACUUGAUACUUUUGUGAUCGGUAAAAAUUUGGCACCUCUUCCCGAUGAGAUAGUAUCUCCAAAUUUUUAGAGCAUGAACCACUGCGGCCAAUUCCAAAUCAUGAGUAUGAUAAUUUCCCUCAUGGGGUCAUAGCUGUCGCGAUGCAUAUGCUACUACCUUGCCGUCUUGCAUAAGUACGCAUCCAAGUCCUUGUGUGGAGGCGUCAUAGUACACAUCAAAACUGCGGUAGAUAUCUGGAAGAGUCAAUACAGGCGCAGUUGUCAGCCAUAUCUUUAGCUCAUUGAAACAUUUCUCAUAGUCCUCAGUGCAUUCAAACUUCUUAUCCUUUUUGAGCAGCUCCUUCAUGGGUUUGGCAAUCUUGGAAAAACCUUCAAUUAAAUGAUGGUAAUAUCCGGAUAAUCCAAGAAAACUUCGGAUCUGAGAUACGGUUGUGGGUGGCAACCACUCGAGCACAUCCUUUACUUUGCCCGGGUCCACGGCUAUACCUUCGGCGGAUAGCACAUGUCCAAGAAAUCCAACUUGCUUGAGCCAAAACUCACAUUUACUGAAUUUGGCGUAUAGCUGAUGUUCGCGGAGUCGUUGUAACACUGCUCGGAGGUGUUCUUUGUGCUCUUCUUCACUUCUUGAGUAAAUAGGUAUGUCAUCGAUGAAGACUACCAUGAACUUAUCGAGAAAUUCCAUGAAUACUUUGUUCAUCAUAUGCAUGAAGAAGGCAGGGGCGUUGGUGAGACCAAAGGACACAACUGUCUAUUCAUACAGACUGUAUCGAGUGGUGAAUGCGGUCAUAGGAAUAUCUUCCUUUUUAAUCUUGAGCUGAUGAUAUCCUGUCCGUAAAUCAAUCUUGGAGAAUACCUUGGCCCCACUGAGCUGAUCAAACAAGUCAUCAAUCCUUGGCAGCGGAUAUUUAUUUUUGAUGGUGACAUCAUUCAGCUGACGAUAAUCCACACACAUGCGGAGACUGCCAUCCUUUUUGUUAGCAGGAAUUAAUUCCAAGUCGGCCACAACAGCGAAGACCAUUUCUUUCUUGGGUAUGCUUCUACGAGCAUAGAAUUUGGUAGUCUGCCCCUUCUGACCGGUCAACGUGACUUCUCAGGUCGCACAGUUUAUGCAUACUUGAUAUUGAGUCAGCCAAUUCAUACCCAAGAUAACAUCCAACUUAGCAGACUCAAUAAUUAUCAAAGAAGUUGGAAAAAAACUCCGUUGAUAUUGACUCCCAGAUUACGGCAGACCAGAUUGCUCCUGAUUAAGGAUCCCGGGGUUUGUACCAGCAUAUUCUUGCCUGAGGGAGUCGUGGAUUAGGGGGUGUCCGGAUGGCCGGACUAAGACCUUUGGCCAGACUCCCGGACUAUGAAGAUACAAGAUUGAAGACUCCGUCCCGUGUCCGAAUGGGACUUUCCUUGGCGUGGAAGGCAAGAUUGGCGAUACGAUAUGAAGAUCUCCUCCCAUUGUAACCGACUUUGUGUAACCCUAGACCUCUCCGGUGUCUAUAUAAACCGAAGAGUUUUAGUCUGUAGGACGAACAACAAUCAUACCAUAGGCUAGAUUCUAGGGUUUAGCCACUCUGAUCUCGUGGUAGAUCUACUCUUGUACUACCCAUAUCAUCAAUAUUAAUCAAGCAGGAGUAGGGUUUUACCUCCAUCAAGAGGGCCCGAACCUGGGUAAAAACAUCAUGUCCCUUGUCUCCUAUUACCAUCCGCCUAGACGCACAGUUCGGGACCCCCUACCCGAGAUCCGCCGGUUUUGACACCGACAUUGGUGAUUUCAUUGAGAGUUCCUCUGUGUCGUCACUUUUAGGCCCGAUGGCUUCUUCGCUCGUCGACCGCGACGCUGUCUGGGAUGAGACUUUUCUCCCCGGACAGGUCUUCAUAUUCGGCGGCUUCGCACUGCGGGCCGACUCGUUCGGCCAUCUGGAGAUCGGGAGCUACGCCCCUGGCCAUCAGGUCACAUUUGGAAGCUUGAACUACACGGCCGACAUCCGCGGGGACUUGAUAUUCGACGGAUUCGAGCCACAACCGGGCGCGCCACACUGUCAUGAUGGGCACGAUUUAGCUCUGUCAUCGUACAACGCCCAGAGCGUCGCUCAGGUGUCCGCUCCGACCAUUAGCUCAGAGCCCUCUACGCCAGUCGGGGACGGACGGUUAGACGCCACCCCAGAAAUGGCAAUCUCUACGGCGAUAGAGCCGGAUACCAGCCUAGUCCCUCGCAAGGCCCGUGACUCCGAGGUGCCGGACUCCGAGGUGCCGGACUCCGUAAAUCCCGCACCUCUCCCGGUUAAGCCCGAUUGGGAUCCGGUCAUGGAGUUCACCACCGCGGACGUCUUUCAUCGCUCACCUUUCGACAACAUCCUGAAUUCAUUAAAGUCUCUCUCUUUGUCAGGAGAGCCUUGGCCGGAAUACGGCCAACAUGGUUGGGAUGCGGACGACGAAGAAAUUUGUAGCCCACCCACCACCCACAUCGUAGCCACUGUCGACGAUUUAACUGACAUGUUAGACUUCGACUCCGAAGAUAUCAACGGUAUGAACGCCGAUAAAGGAGACGAUUAAGAACCAACACCUAUAGGGCUCCAGAAAAACAACUCAUCAUACGAUGUAUACAUGGUGGACACACGCAAGGGAAACGACAACGAGGACCAAAAGGAUACGGCCAGGGACCGCUCCCCCAAAAAACAAUCAAAGCGGCGGCGUAAGCGCAAGGCCAAGCCCCACCUCGACAAAAACCCAGCCAUAGAGCAGGGUGACUCAACGGACGAUGAACAUGCCGUCGAGCAUCCGUCCAAGCAGGGCGGACAAUCCGAACAACCAACCCCCGGGAAGGAUAAUAGCCCGGACGACCUCACACCAGACAAAUUGCUGGAACAUCAGAACCUCCACCAAUGGCUCGUCGCCACCGCACGUAGCCUGAAAAAGCAGAAGCGGAGGCUCAAGACAGCGGAGAAUGCACUCAGGAUCAGAUGGGGCAAGGUACUCAAUACCGCCCACAAGUACGGCAAUAGUCGCCACACAAACAGCUAUCCGAAGCAGAAACUACUAUCGGAAUUUGACGAAGAGGCCAUAAAGCCCCCACAGUCAGAAAAUAAGGACGCCACAAGGUCAGAUAGACGACCCUACGACCAAUCUCACGCAUCAAAGGACGCCGUACUCAAUAUAGCGCGCGAUCCGUCCAAGACUGGCCCUACCAGAUCCAUCUAUAGGCCAAGAAAGCAAGCUCCAAUGAGUGAUGCAACGCAAAAAAUACCCGAAAAUCGCGGCACGCCUAAAUACAGAGGCGCCGCACACCCCCUAUGUUUUACUGAUGAGGUGCUGGAUCAUGAAUUCCCAGCCGGAUUCAAUCCAGUGAACAUAGAACCAUACGACAGAACAACAGACCCUGGAGUCU